UUUUUUUUUCUUGUUGCUUUAUGGAAGUCGAUGGGACUCUCUUAUACGAAAUCCAUCUACUUUACCUGCUGGUGUAGCUUUUAUUAUUAUUGGUCUUAACUUAGGUUUGUGUUGGAUGCAUUUUGGCGUGUCAUUAAACUUUUAAAGCUCAUGACAUGGAGUUUACUAAGUUACUAAAGUCUUCCAUAUUUGUGUCAUUUAACAAGAUUAUUCAGCAAAAUAUUUCUUUGUUUGAAAAAAAGAACUUAAAAUUAAUACAUAACUGCGUAAUCUUUUUAGGGAGAGAUUAUUGCUGGAAAAUAUUUCCACAUCUAGUUGUGACAAUUUACUAGUCUUUAAUACUUGGGAAGUUUUUGAUGUCUCCUUUUUCUAUCAGAUGACUCGAUUCUUUCAGUUCAUUAAGUAUCUGUAUUCUGCUCACAAAUGAUUUGCAACUUUCAGUUUGACAAUUGUUAAAUGGUAUUUGACCUGAUGUAUACUUUGUGGAGCACUUAUCUUGCAGAGCAGAUAUUUGUUCUUUUUCUAAUGUUACAUUGUUUUUGUUUUGUAGACGCAGAGUCUGCCAAAUCAGAGAUUGAGAUGGAAGAGGAGGCUCCCGUAUCAAAAGUUUCCCCUGAUUCCAAGUUUGAAAAGGAGGCUUGCUUGUCCAGCAGUGUCCCUGAUAUUGAAUCCUUAGUUUUGGACGAGAUAUUGUCGACUGAUACAGAAGGAUCGAUGUUAAGGUCAGAUGAAAUCAGUGGUGAUGGGAAACAGCAUAGAGAGGUAUUUGUGGUUUAGCAUUUUAUGCCUCCUUUAGUCCUUUCUCCAUCAAAUAUAUCAUUAUAAACUGCUUCAUUUUUCUUGUUUUACAAUUUGAUUUUGUUUUUCUUAUUUUUUUCUUCUUACUUUAGGCUUGGGCAAUUUCCAAAGGGAGCGAGUCAAUUGCAGAUUGUUUCUGUGACCUAGUUCCUGAAAUGGCCCUCGAGUUUCCUUUUGAACUGGAUACAUUUCAGAAGGAGGUAUGAUGAAUUGGGAGUACUGCAUUGUUUUCAAUUAGCUUAACUUUUUGUGCUAUUCAUAGAGGACAUGAGGCACUGUAAUUUGCAAAUUUGAUAGAUGUGUCAUGCAUAUGGGUUCUUUGAAUUAUAAAGAACUGAAUGACGAGUAAUUUAUGAUGUAAAGCUAGUAGAUCACGAUGAGUUUAUCAUCAUUCCCUUGAGCCCAUAUGAAAAGUUCAAAUAAAAUGAAAAUGAUAUGAAAUAAUGAUGCAAUGGAAAAUAGACGAAGAAAUUUUCCUACUCUAUUUGGUUAGCACACUACAUACGAGCACAUACAAGAAAAUGAUUUUUGACCUUAAUCUUAUUACAUAUUUCUUUUUAGAUUUAAUCUUUUCUAACUGAUUCCUUGAUUUUUGGAUUUCUGUCUUAACUUUGUUUUAUCGUGUAAAAAACAUUCAUAAAGAUAUGUGUUUUGAUUUUAUGUAAUAAGAUUAAGGUCAAAAAUCAAAGAUAAGUUUUCUAUCUGAUACCUUGAUUUUUGGCCUUAAUCUUAUUACAUAAAAUCAAGGCCUUUUUACUUGCUAUCCAUGGUCCAAACUAGAAUUUUUGGAUUUCUGUCUUAACUUUGUUUUAUCGUGUACGUGAUGCAUAUGCAUAAAGAUAAACAUGUGCAAGGCACAUGCCUCAUAGUUCCUGCAGAUUCUUAUAUGGAUUAGAACAUCCCUAGUAGUAGUUUCUAUUUACUUUGUUUUUCUAGUGUAGUUAGGAUUAGGUUUAGGUUAUUAUAAAUAGGGGAUUGCAAACCCUAUUGAGUAGGUUAGAUUGAAGAUUUGUUUAUGUCUUGAGACAUUAAAUUUGUUUUUGUGAAGAACCCUAGUUUUUGGGUGUUCAAACCAUUUACUUAAUUGGUGUUCUUAUUAUUGUUUGCUUCCGCCGAUAAUAUUACAUCCGUACGAUAUGUUUUUACUUAGUAAAACAUGGUGUUGCACUUUCACUUACACCUUUUACGAAAUGAGCACCAUUGUUUAUUAACUUUGGGAUUUCCACUACCUCAAUAAUUUUUAUUUCUUACGACUGCUGUCACAAAACGAUCCAACUUUCUCCUUUUUUCUUUUCUGAAAUUUGGCAUGAGUAUCAUAAUGAAUCGUUCUGUAUUUUACAUUUUUACCCGCUUAUAGAUCCAUUUUUUUUUUAAAAGUUAUCUUUCCUCGUGUCACCAAAAUAUCGUCCAAAUGUAAUAUACAUAGUGGCUAAAAUAUGUCGGGUUGUUUUUUAAUCUUUAGAACUCUGGUUUUAUAUUGUCUAUUUGAAACUAUUAUCUGAUGAGAAAGCAUUCCUAUUUGCGUAAUCCCCUGCGAACAAGUUUUCUCAUGUAGCUUGCAUAAACUAUUCAUGCUACUCACAAUUGGUAUCUUGAAAUGCAGGCCAUAUAUUAUCUUGAGAAGGGGGAGUCUGUUUUUGUAGCUGCUCAUACAUCAGCUGGAAAGACUGUUGUUGCAGAAUAUGCAUUUGCUUUGGCAUCAAAAGUAAUGGGUUUCAAUUCUAUGUUUUUUCCUACCCAAUGACUAUUGCUUGUUGUUGGUGAUCCAAGUGUUUUUUUUUCCGAAAUAUAAAAGAUAUUAUUUGUUAUAAUUUUAUUAGGUCAAGAAACUUUAAAAGAGUGUUAGCUAGAAACUAUUUCAUUGAAGACCCCAACCGAGUAGACAUAGGUCUACCAAUUCGUCAUCUUUACUUGGCCCCAUAUAUCGAGCACACAAAUUCAUAUUUUCGUUGCCCAUGCAUCGUCCCUUGAUAAGGAUAAGUUAUUAUCCCCAUCUUCAUAAAUGUCAUAAAAAAAUUGACGCUCAUCAGGUCUAAGAAGUGCUAUACUGACAUAAGACCUAAAAACUUACAGCUGUGCAUAUAACUUAUAAGCCAUUUAUUAUGUCCUCUUUUGCAAUCUUUGGUUCAAUGCCACUCAGCAUCUGUUUUAGUUAGUCUGUACAAGUUUCCAUGCCUACUCUUAAUUGAAAUUUUCCAUUGUGUUGUGUCUCUUAUGUGACACUUUUUUAUGCAGCAUUGUACGCGAGCUGUGUAUACUGCUCCCAUAAAAACCAUCAGCAACCAAAAGUAUAGGGAUUUUUGUGGGAAAUUCGAUGUUGGUCUUCUUACUGGUGAUGUUAGCAUAAGGCCCGAGGCAUCUUGCCUCAUCAUGACAACUGAAAUAUUAAGGUCCAUGCUAUACAGAGGUGCGGAUAUCAUACGCGAUAUUGAAUGGGUAAAUUUUUUUGUUUAGUAUUGUAUUUACUCCAGAGUGUUUUUUGUUUUCUUUUUGUUAUUUUUUCUAUAAAUUUCAUGACAUUACUUUUUAUUUAUGGGUAUGUGGAAGGUUAGGUGAUAUUCGACGAGGUGCAUUAUGUUAAUGAUGUCGAAAGAGGUGUUGUUUGGGAAGAAGUUAUUAUUAUGCUUCCAAGACAUGUUAAUAUUGUUCUCCUUUCAGCUACGGUAUGUAGUUCUUUCUCAUUGCUGGAAAUUUGUGAACAUUUUCCACUUUAGUGUUAAGAGUAACAUUUCUUUAUUAGAAAAACAAUAGAGGAAUAAGAUUCUGGUGAUCAUUGGGGAACAUAUUUUAACUCUGUUUGAUUGGGUAAACACACUAAUUAUAAGUCUCAAACAUCUCUUGUUGUCAUCUAUUUGAAUGGAAUGUGAUCCAAGCUCUCAGCCUAAGACUUGCUAAGAACACUAACACCCUGAUGGAGUUAUAAGAUACUAAGUCUGACAUUUGUGGGCACAAGAAGUUCAUGUUGGAUGUUUUUCUUAGGUAUGACAGCUGAUUUGGUCCUUUUGGGCAGUGCCAAUAUAUAAUAUCUUUCUUUUUCUUAUCAAGACCAUCAGAAGGUGCGAUGAAUUUGAGGGACUCUUUCCAAAGUCGUGAAACAUUGAUAUUGUCAAUGAGAUCACUUGCUUAAUAGCUGGGAUUUUGUGAAUCUUUGAAUGAAGUUCUUUUAUUUUUCUUUUAGUUCUCCCACCUCUUAGAGUUAAUAUUCAACAUGUUUCUGAUAGGAAGUAGCUGAAUUACACCUGAGAAGUUUUUAUUUCGAUUCUACAGUCAUCUUCAUGGUCUUAUUAUUAUUAUUACUAUUUGUUUUGUUAUCUUCUUUCCCUUUAAGGUUAUAAGCAUAUAAUUAUAGGAUGUUGACAUUUUUUGUAGGUGCCAAAUACCAUAGAAUUUGCUGAUUGGAUUGGUCGGACUAAGCAGAAGAAAAUUCGCGUAACUGGGUGAGUAAACUGGUUUUAGGAAAAUGCUUCAAAUUUGUUUUUAUCUAUUUUUUAUUAUUUACAUCUUGAGGCUUAGGAGUGCCAAGCUAAAAUAAUUUCGCUCCUCUGUUUACUAAGGCCCACCACAAGUUCUUUAAUACCAUUGGAAUUUUAUCGUCUUCAGCAUAAUCUUCUGUUUAUAGUUUGAUAAUCAUUGGUUAAUAAUACCAUUUCUUGUUAUUUUUGGCAUUUUUAUUACCAGAACUACUAAACGACCUGUACCUCUGGAACAUUGCCUAUUCUAUUCUGGAGAGUUGUAUAAAAUAUGUGAAAGUGAGAAAUUUCAGCCUCAGGGAUUGAAAACUGCUAAGGAUGCUUACAAUAAAAAAAAUUCAAGUACACUUGGAGGUGGUUCUGGAACACAUGCAGGGUCUGCAGUGCUCCAUGGUAGUGCCCCAGUUCGGCAGCAACGCGAAAAUUCUAUUCGUGGUAAACAGCAGAAGCAUUCGGGAACCCAAUCUGUUAGCAAGUUUUCAGGUACUGCUGGACCAAACCAAAAUACCUGGGGAUCAAGGAAACCAGAGGCUCAAUUGUGGAUGCAGCUCAUAAACAAGCUCUCAAAGAAAUCUCUUUUGCCUGUAUGAAAAUUAUUUUAAUCUUUAUGGUUGUUACUUUCUGUUAAGUUUCUGAUUUAUUACUAGCUGCCAUUCUUACCAUUGAAUGUGAAUGCUACAAUGAAACCAUGCAAACAAAUAUGCUUAUAGGCAGAAUUUUUGUUGGAAGCAUGCAAAUUCAUCAGAACUUGGUUUGAAUCAUGUAUCAAAAUUUGAAGAUUGUCAGCAUCACUCUGCAUGGAUAAUGUUUCAGUUUCUAAGAGGAUUGCAUGUCACAUCUUUUAUUUUAUCUUCAAUAUGUAGCUUAUUACUAUAUUUAUAACUUUAUUUUUCUCUGGCUUGUGAAACCAGGUGAUUAUCUUUUGCUUUUCAAAGAAUCGUUGUGAUAAAUCUGCUGAUAAUAUGACUACCAUAGAUCUAACAAGUAGUUCUGAGAAAAGUGAAAUUCGUGUUUUCUGUGACAAGGCCUUUUCACGCCUAAAGGGAUCUGACAGAAAUCUCCCUCAGGUUUGUAGUGUUUCGUUUCAGUUUUUCUUUUCUAUUUGCAUAAGUUCGAAUUAUCUUCAGGGAUUAGGUUAAAUAAAUGCUUUCUGCAGGUUGUCAGAGUCCAAAACCUUCUACGUAGAGGGAUUGGUGUGCACCAUGCAGGGUUGCUUCCAAUCGUCAAAGAAGUUGUUGAAAUGCUGUUUUGUCGUGGUGUGAUUAAAGUAAUUAUUUCUACCAAUACCUGCCCGAGUUCUCUAUCAUUUUAUUCUGCUAUGUUUGGUUCGUUGGAAAACACUUCUUUGCAAUGUACUUGUAACAGAAAAAUUGAAAAUUGUGCCAAAAUGAUGGAAAUGAUAUCCUCUCUGGCUCUCUUUAUACCCGAUUAUUCUUUUCAUUGUUUAGUUGUCAUAGAGUUGAAGCAUAACCUUCCACAGAAGUCCCAAACAUUAACAUUUAGAAAUGCUACAAUACUGAUAAUUUCAUGUCAAAAGAUUCCAGUUUCAUCUGUUUAGCAUAGGAGUUGUAAAGGAUUAGAAGGUCUCACCAGACGUGAUCAUGGAACAGGAGGUGGGGGUAUUCUAGAUGAGUUGUGUGAAGAAAAAGUCAUGUCGUUCAAUUGAUUUUCAAGCGAGCUCCUUAACCUUCUAUUGACAGUCCACUUUCCAGUCUAGCCAUCUUUGCCUAAACUCCAUCAAAUUCUCCACUUCCUGUUCAAUCCCAUACCUUUGCUCCAGUGUCACCAACCUGCCUUUACCUUUUAUCCUAUUUUUUUUUUUCUCAUGCAAUCCAUCCAAUAUACUCCUACCGCCUGUUCCAUGUGAUCCGCUCUGAUGAGACCUCCUCAGCCUCACUGAUUUCUAUGCUUAACUAUAAUCUUCUUAUGGCCCUUACAAGUAGUUAUUUGUUUUAAAUUGGGGUUUAACAAGUUGUUGUCUUGUCAAAAUUUUAAUUCCCCUAGUUAUUGUCUUUAAACAUUUCCAUUUAAAGCUCCACAUGAUUUUCUGGCACACAGUUGAAGUCUCAUUUUAGUUUUGUGUUAACGUAUUGAUUGACUGAGUUUUUUUUUGUUAAAUGACAAUUGACACUGUAUUGACUGAGUGUUUUAUACUUAUAGGUGUUAUUUUCAACAGAGACAUUUGCUAUGGGUGUCAAUGCUCCAGCCAGAAUGGUAAGUCUAUCAUGUUAUCUUGUUUAAGUGCCUUUUUAUAUUAUUAGAUAGUUUUUAUUAAGUCAUGGAUCAACAUUCUGCCAACUUUCCACUUUCACUUUUUUGUUUGGUGAUAAAUUUUAUUCGUAACAAAGAUGAGAUAGUGCAAUGAAUCCCCUAAGUCCGUCCUCUUUUUAUUACCCUAGUCCAUGCCCUACUUCUAGGGGUGCAAUAUUUGGGCUUGGACAAAUCGUUCAAGCGUAGGGGUCUAAGACGAAUGCAAGUAAAAUACCUGUCAACAUACCAAUAUGGAUGAUAAAUCAUAAUAGAUUACUGAUGCCAAGACAUUUAUACUUCCAAGGAAAAACACAAGGUCACAUCUUACAAUUUGGUUGAAAACAACCUGUAGGUGAAAAGGUAUGUCAUUUUUAUAUCACUUUGUUGAGUUUCUUGCAGGUUGUCUUUGAUGCCUUGAGGAAAUUUGAUGGUAAAGAGUUUAGACAGUUAUUACCUGGGGAAUACACUCAAAUGGCUGGCCGUGCUGGUAGACGUGGUCUAGAUAAGAUUGGCACAGUUGUUCUGAUGUGUCGUGAUGAAAUCCCAGAGGAGAGAGAUUUGAGACAUGUGAUUGUUGGGAGUGCAACUAGACUUGAAUCCCAAUUCAGAUUGACUUAUAUCAUGAUCCUGCAUCUCCUCCGCGUUGAAGAAUUGAAGGUGAUUCUAGAACCAAAUUUUAGAUUGAACUUAAAUUUGCUUUGGUAUUGAUGUAAAAGAUUGCAUCUUUAAUUCUCUAGAGAGUUAAUAAAAUAUGUUGUACUUGUAUAUUUGUCGGUGACUCUCCAAUCAGCAAGUGAUCCUCAUCAAUGUUUUUUAGUGUUAUUCACACCUAGACACCAUUCCAGCUAUUCCUUGGUGGACAUUGCGAUGGGUUAUGUGUAUAUUGAGUAGAGGUCAUACGUGUUGUUCCUGCAUGCUUGUGUUGUACACUUGUUUUUCUGUGCGUAUGCAUAUAUUUGAUAGAGGAUUAUUAUUUCAGGUGGAGGACAUGUUGAAGAGAAGCUUUGCUGAAUUCCAUGCUCAAAAGAAACUUCCAGAGCAACAGCAACUUCUCAUGUUAAAGCUUGCUCAACCUACAGCUAUUAUUGAGUGGGUCAUCAUGUCCUCAGUUUUUGUUUAUAAAUUUACAUUUUGAUGUUUUAUCUACUUUUACCGUUUCAGAUUGUUUUCUUCCAACUCAGUGUAGCUGGCAUCUUUCUUGGGCUGUCAGUUUUGAUUGAGUUUAUCAUUGUUUUUAAUGGUAGUCCAAUUAAAAACUUGAAAUUAUCUGGUGUUACAUUUAUUGUAUCGUAGCCAUUUCAUGAUCUUCUUGUGGUGUGUGAGCUACAUUUUCCUUUUCCAUCUGUGGAAUAAUUGACAAAUUGUUUUCUGCAUACUAGAUGUAUAAAGGGCGAACCUGCAAUUGAAGAAUAUUAUGAAAUGCUGACUGAAGCUGAUAGACAUAGGGAAGCUGUGUUAGAGAAGGUUAUGCAGUCUACUUCUGCCCAACAAUUUCUUUCACCUGGAAGAGUGGUAGUCGUCAAAUCACAAUCAGUGAGUGUUUUUAGUUAAUUUUAUCUAUAUUCUUGAAUUGAGAUCCAGGUGCUUAGUCAUUCUGUAUGAUACUUAACUUGCGAAAGUGCUAGUUUGUGAGAAGUUCAUUUUAGGGCUCCAGUUAGAUAAUGCCUAUCACUCAGUGACUCUUCAGUUGACUGACAUAUUGCAUAUUAUCAGUACUCAUAAGUAGUUUAAUAUAUCUAGACACCUAAUAUAAGAAAGCCAUUGAUUUCUGGAUAAGUUUUAUGUCUUUAUCAAUACGGAAAAAAGAAAAAAAAAGCAUACUGGUGGUGCUGGACUUUUAUUAAAAAAUAAAUCAAUGCUGGACUUUUACUUUCUGGUUGUCAGAUGCCAGUUAGGCUGAUUAAGUGUUUAAAGUUAACUUUUAUGCUCCCUUUAUUUUCUCUCAUUUGUUUUCUUUAAAGGAAUUUGUGGGUGUAUGAUUAUGUUAUGCGAGCAAAACGAAAGAAGAUACAAGAAGAUUGUUAAUUAACCAUGAGCAUUUUUUACCUUUUCUAGUUGGCAUCCAGUCUGAAUUGCUUAUUUUUGUACUGAGGUUACUUUGUAAUAAUCACAAAAGAUUAAGGCCACCUCUUUAGAUUAGAUGUAGCAAGAAUUAAUGUUUAACUCGGCAGCCUUUCUUAUCUUGUAGUAAAUCCAAGAAGACAAUCCAGAGAUGGGGGAUUUUAGGUUUCUGCUUACAUGAAGAAAUUAUAAAGUUCCUUUUAUUUUUUCCGAAUAUUUGUAUUAGAAUUUGUUAGCUAUAGUGGAAUGUGCUGCAUGUUGACUUUCUGGUGGUGCUAAGCAUUCAAUGAAUGCGUAGAUGCUUUUCUGUACACUGUAGGCAGUUUUGUAUAGUCAAUGAAACUGUUAACUUCUUAUUCUAUAUUGAUAUAUGUAUAAAUCUUUGUAUUCUGUCUUCUUUGACAGGCCAGAGAUCACUUACUUGGGGUUGUCUUAAAGAUACCUUCUGCAAUUUUUAAACAACACAUUGUUUUGGUGCUGAGACCUGAUCUUCAAUCAACUAUGCAAACUUCCCUAGUUGCUGAUAAAUUACAAGAAAAAGGAAGUGGCAAUGUAUCCCAAGGGUAUUUUAUUGCUCCAAAAUCAAAACGUGGACAGGAUGACGAUUACUUUUCGUCUGCAAGUUCUCGUAAAGGAUCUGGCGCUGUCAAUAUAAAGCUACCAUAUUGUGCUACUGCUGCUGGAAUGAGUUUUGAGGUUAUAGGAAUUGAACACAAAGAGUUCUUAAGCAUUUGCGAGUGCAAAAUUAAAAUUGACCAGGUCCGGCUUCUUGAAGAUGUCAGUAAUGCUGCAUAUUCAAAGACGGUCCAACAGCUGUUAGAUCUAAAAGCUAAUGGAAACAAAUACCCUCCUGCUCUAGAUCCAAUACGAGGUAUGACCUGUUAUGUUCUGAAAUGUUUCAUCCCGCUCUUCUUGCAAGUUUUUCAAGUUAUUUUUCUGAUAAAAAAAAAUUGAGCUGUUAUGCCAAUUGCUUCUCGACUUCUCGUUGUAUCCAAGUAUAUGGUUUUAUCUUUUUGGGAGAAAGAGUCUGCAGGACAAAAACAAAUGCUAAAUAUCCCAAAAGGACAUAGAAGUCAACAACUUUUGGACAGAACUGCCGUCUAUAAUCACACUAUGAUCAGAUGUCGAAUCAUAUAUAUAUAGAAUAUAUGAUGUAGUUAACAAAUCUAUACACUAAACCUAUAGAUUAANNNNNNNNNNNNNNNNNNNNNNNNNNNNNNNNNNNNNNNNNNNNNNNNNNNNNNNNNNNNNNNNNNNNNNNNNNNNNNNNNNNNNNNNNNNNNNNNNNNNNNNNNNNNNNNNNNNNNNNNNNNNNNNNNNNNNNNNNNNNNNNNNNNNNNNNNNNNNNNNNNNNNNNNNNNNNNNNNNNNNNNNNNNNNNNNNNNNNNNNNNNNNNNNNNNNNNNNNNNNNNNNNNNNNNNNNNNNNNNNNNNNNNNNNNNNNNNNNNNNNNNNNNNNNNNNNNNNNNNNNNCAGUCUUUUUUUAAUUAAGCUAAAAGGACAAGGACUUGUGAUUUCACGUCUGAUCAUAGUGUUGGUCUUUAUUGUAGUUCAUAUUUUGCUCUUCUCUACUAGGGUUAAUUACCCUAUAAGUUUAGUGUAUAGUUUUGUUAACUACAUCAUAUCUUUUAUAUAUGAUUCGCCGUCUGAUCAUAGUGCGAUUGUAGAGGGUAUUUCUGUCCUAAAUUUGUUGAUUUCUAUGUCCUUUUGGGAUAUUUAGCAUCUGUUUUUGUCCUGCAGACUCUUUCACCAUUUCUUUUUCCUUGAUAAGUAAAACUUCCAUGAAUGAUGAAAGGCUUUGUUCAAAGCAAAAGGAGAAAGGUUGUGCAGUCAUAUGCAUGGAACCAAGACAUCCCAACUAGGUGGAAAUGAUAAUGAAUUAUUUUUGGGGUUGGGGAUGGGGUGGGGUAUUUNNNNNNNNNNNNNNNNNNNNNNNNNNNNNNNNNNNNNNNNNNNNNNNNNNNNNNNNNNNNNNNNNNNNNNNNNNNNNNNNNNNNNNNNNNNNNNNNNNNNCAACUCAUCCCUUCAGGUGUAUGUGUUAAUGUCUUAUUUUUGGUUGCUUCUUGGUUUUGGGGAAUUUUCCAAAUUAUUUUUGGGGUUGGGGGUGGGGGUAUUAUUGGUGGGUGGGUGGGGUAUUUUCAAACUUAUUCAGCCUUGAGCGAUCAACAUACAUACCUUUUUUAAACAAUGUUGCCUCAAAUUUUAUUAACAAUGGAGUAGCUAUUGCAUCAGGACAACUGAUAGUCUGAUACAAUCAGCAAUUAUUUGUUUAUUGGGAUACUUAUGGACAUUAGUGAGUUUUUAAUGUCAUGGCUAUAAAAGAAAAAGUUAUGAGAUUUGAUGUAGUAUAUUUGCCUAAAAGUAAAUACAAUUAUACUGUGUUUCAUUUUUUAUCAAGUUUUAUAUGGCGUUUAUGGAUAUAAGUUCUUAGCAACUAAACUUUAUUAGAAUUAUUACUGAUGUAAGUGUUAUUGGGGAACGCUUAACGUGAUUAAUGUAGUUGUGGAGUAAACGUAUUUUGAACUUCGAUAUUUUGCUUAGUUUUGACGGUUACCUUGUAAAUGCGUUGGUUUUAGCAUAAAUUUAAUAUUAAUACUGUAGGCCAUAGGAUAAACUGAAACAUUGAUGUUGUAUGUUUCCUUUGGCUUUGUCAUUCAUUCAUUGUAUCCUUGUCAUAUCUGUAUCCUAGUCUUUGGGAUUUGCUGUAUCGCUCUGUCCGUAAUGUUUGGUUACACACUCACGUGCCUCCUAUACCGCAGAUCUAGUGACUGGACCUUCAGUUCACUGUCGAUUAUUAAAACAGAUCACAGCUUAUCAUUCUCCAAUAAUGUUCUGCUCAAAGUAACGGAACGGUUUAUUUUGCAUCUACCAAAAUACAAUCGGUUUAGUUUAACCUGUAGUUGUACAUAUCACAAACAUGCAUGGUUUAUAGUGCUGGUGAUGAAUUCCAGUUGCUUAUAUAGCAACAUGCUGAAAGACAUGGUCACCUGACAAAAAACCAACUGAAGAUAAUGAGUUUAACCUUUAUUUCAGAUCUGAAGCUUAAAGACAUGGCCCUGGUGGAGGCUUACCGCAAAUGGCAUGGUAUAUUGCAAAAGAUGUCCGAGAAUAAGUGUCAUGGCUGUGGAAAACUAGAGGAGCACAUGUUAUUAUUGGAAGAGAUAAACAAGCAUCGAGAAGAAGUGAAAGCACUGAAGUUUCAAAUGUCAGAUGAAGCACUUCAGCAGAUGCCAGACUUCCAGGGCCGAGUAUGUUUCACUUGACUUCUUGUUUCCCUCCUUAUCUCCUGUAUUCUCAGAAACAGUGUUACAUUUGAUUUUAUAUCAUCAACAACCGUAUUUCACUUUUGCAGAUUGAUGUGUUAAAGGAAAUCGGCUGUAUAGACUCCGACCUUGUUGUGCAGAUCAAGGGUCGGGUGGCGUGCGAGAUGAAUUCUGGGGAAGAGUUGAUAUCCACAGAGUGCUUGUUUGAGAACCAGUUAGAGGACUUGGAGCCUGAAGAAGCAGUGGCACUUAUGUCUGCACUUGUAUUUCAACAGAAGAACACUUCUGAUCCAUCUCUUACUCCUAAGCUGGCACAAGCGAAAAAGAGGUUAUUUCCUAUGAAUUAUUUGUUCCGAAAUUCGUGUGCAGGAAAUGCUUGUUUUUAGUAGCUAUGCUAAUAAGAAAAUUCUCUCUUUCUUUGGAAAGGUCUAGAUUACUGUUGUCGUAUAAUAUUUUCUUGGUUGCGCUGAGCAACGUGCAAGGAUGCAUAGUGUGAAUUCAUCUCUAUUUUCUUAUUAGUGUUGAUAGGUCACUAGUGGUCCUUAGGCGGUUUGGAGGGAUGUAUAAAGAUUUUUGGCGGGUUGCAUGUGCUAGUGUGGUGUGUUGUAGCAUGUUCUUUAGGAAUGUGUUAUGGAUGUAGUUAGUAGAUUGGUAGGUUUAAGCUCACAAACAUUGAAGUUCCAAAUUCGAGCUAAAACAUCGCACCUUUGAAGGUCUGCUCUGUGUAAUACGGUAAAUUGUUCGUAACUUCGUAUAGAGAAUUAUGUGCGAGAUGAACAUUCUUGCUACCUUUAUUAGAUUGAAAGCAUGUACCUUUGCUGUCACGAUUAUAUCAAAUUACAGCCUAAACCUAAGCAUUGAUAACCGUAAUGUUUAAACUGCUGGGUACAUUAUGCUGGAAGAUUAGUGACGAGGUUGAGAAUAUCUUGCUUUGAGUUUUAUUUGGUUGUUUCCUUUUCCUUAUUGAAUUAAAAUCAUGCGUGCAAUGUCAUCAGGUUGUAUGAUACAGCGAUUAGACUUGGUGAGCUUCAAGAGCGCUUUAAACUACAGAUAAACCCUGAAGAAUAUGCUGCAGACAAUCUUAAGUUUGGUCUUGUGGAAGUGGUCUAUGAAUGGGCCAAGGUUUGCUAUCCUUUACAAAAUCGUUUGUGCUGUAGUGACCUGUUACUUAUUUUACCCGCUUUAUAGUUUAUUAAUUUAACACUUCCUAACUGUUAUUGUAGGGUACACCAUUUGCUGAUAUAUGCGAGCUUACAGAUGUUCCUGAAGGUUUAAUUGUGAGGACCAUUGUUCGAUUGGAUGAGACGUGUCGUGAAUUCAGGAACGCUGCAGCAAUAAUGGGUAAUUCGGCACUUCACAAGAAAAUGGAAACUGCAUCUAAUGCAAUCAAACGUGACAUCGUUUUUGCAGCUAGUCUAUAUAUCACAGGAGUUUAAUGCUUAAAGCCCAAAUUCCGCUUGAAGAUCAUAGCUUGCUCCCUGCAACUGGUAAUUGAUGUUAUUGCAAUUUGCAAGUCUCACAUUAAUACUGGGCCCUGGGCCCGCAAUAUAUAUCUGACAGAAGAACAGAGUAAAAGAAAAGUUGAGGGUGGAGAUCAGGAUUCAGGAUUAUCCCCAUGCCCCCAACUGCAGUGGACUAACAAUCUUUAGUCAUGCGAAAUAUCAUAAUGCCCUGAGGCCUUUGGUUCCUAUGGGAUUAAUGUUGGAAUGUGAUGGUUGCAGUUAAUGGGGAUAGCUUAGAACAGGUUUCCAAUUAUUGUAAAUAAUUCCCAGGUAGAAAUUGCGACUUUUAGUUCAAAACACAGGAAUCAUCAAAUAAUAAAUAAGAUGGUUUUUUUUUUUUUUUUUGAAUUUUUUUCCCAAUAUGUCAUCACUUCUGUUAGUUGCAAAGAUUUCUUCCUUGUUGAGAUGAAGUUCAAAAACGAAGUUCUCUUCUUUAAUGUUCAAGCUUUCCGGAAUACUAUCAGGCUGAUAGUAUUUGUUAGUGUUCAGUCGUAUAGAUUGUGAUCAAGCAGAAUUAUUGGUCACAGAGGCGACCAAACUUUCAUCAGAUAAUUGUGGUGAUAUGUUGGGUAAUAGGAGGUGAUAAUUAAAGCAUCUUGAUUCAUUAAUAAUGCAUUUACAUGAAGAAAAAAUCUUUUUGAAUGAUUCAAACAACACAUAAAAACCAAAUUGCAAUUGUAAAAAUAUGACUCGUCGAAUCCAUUGCUAAAGCUGCACAAGCUCUAUUUCGAUGAGGAUAUGGCUGUUCAGAACUGUGCACAGCUCAAUCUUGCCAUGGCUGUAGUUCUUCUUUUGCUGGUAGAGUGCCUGAUUGAGAAGCCUGGAUCUGCACCAGCAUCUCAAAUCCAUUCAUCGCGCUAGUCAAGCCCAUCAGAGAGUUUAGUAAGUAGGAGGAAGGAGGCUGUUGACAACUUGACAUGAACAAUGUGAUAGUUGACUCCUUCGAGCAUCCACUGGUUGGACUUGACAUGAUAAGUGCAAAUUCUAUCAUCUUUCUCUUCUUUGAAGACAAUUAUUUCUCCAUUGUCGACACUUCCUACAACAUCAUUGGGGUAAUAUGUUUGUUGGCUUGUACUACUCACUUGCUUUCCUGUAAGCCUGUAUAGUAUUUGCCACUCUUGUACUUUGACUUCAAUUUCCAAAGCCGUAGGAUUCUGAGUUAAAGUUAAAAUUAAGACCCACCAAGGGUUUUGCAGUUGCAACAAUGAAACUAGUCAAAUUACAACCAUGGAUUUAAUCUGGCUUAAACAAAAAAACAAAACAGAUAUACAUAUCAGCUUUGCAUUCUCAUGGGCUUUCUUUCAUAACCUGCUUUGGCAUUGUACGGGUCUCUUACUGGAAAGUGACACUUAUAAGAAAAAAUAAAAAAAAUAAAAUUGGCUUUCCCUUGUAGAUUUUGUUUCAGCUUUGCUCGCAGAGUUGUAUUGAAUCAACACAAAUUUUAAAAGAAGCAACCACCCUUGAUUUGCCUACAUGUAUAUUUUGUCAUCCAAGCAUAUGCUUUAUUUAGCAGUGGGCAUGCAGUUACGCAGCCGUUUACCUACACUCCUACAGUGAUUUUCAUUUAAGAAAAGCAAAUGACUUCAUCCAAUUAAUUUGAGAAUAUUUUAUCUCAAGUUAUGAUACUACAAUCUUACGGAUGGCCUUCAGCUAAGGCCACGUUAAAGAGUCUCUAAAACAAAUUAACUGAACCGCAGAAGAGACGAUCACACGAUAUAGCCUUCACAAACCAAGUUCACCACACUGAAUCACUGUAUUGCAAGCAAUAAAUUGCCUGGCGUCCAUACCUUCUUGUGGAUCUCUGAUACAAGUGGCAGGGUGACGACCAUGAUUGUAAUUUGUAAGGUUCUUGGUUAGCUGAGAAUUCUCAAUUUACGUUUAGAGUUCCUGGUGACAUAUAGAUUAAAAAAUAAACACAAAAUCCAAGCCAAUUGACUUCAUAUGUAGUCUUGCAAUGUUAAACAGAUUAAAGAAUGAAAAAUAGUUUAAUACACAAGAUAUUAGUUAUUGAUCCGAUGAGGUGCCCUUCUGUCUAAUACAAUAAGAAAAUAACAUGGAAAGUUAAUUAAUAUGUUUAGGUUGUCGUCAAAUUAUUGGAACGUGUGAACAUUUUUAUAAACAUGUUUUCUUUUCCAAUGACUGAGAACAAUCUGAACAUACUAAUACACAACACAUGCCACAUUAUCUUCACAUACUGUAUUACAAUAAAGGGCCCCUUAAAAGGAAGCCUAUUGUGCUAUAUCUUACCGUCUAAAGAGUAUCAGAUAUAAGUAAUUGUUAUUCGUAUAUAACAAGCACAGCCGAAAACUUACCAGCAUCAGGUACUUGUCACAACUGAAAGACACACCAGCAGAUUCAGCUCACUAUAAUGAUCCCAGGUGAUCUGACAUCUGAUAUGCUUGGCUGUAACCAACCCUUGCAUUGGCAGGGGCAGGUAGCACAAAAUAAAUGACCGGCAAGCCACGCCAAACCCUGUAACAUCUACCAACCUUGGUGGACACCGAUCUUCCAUCACCUUCGUCGUGAACUCUGGUGGUGGAUGUGAGCUUGACUAUCAUUUCGUAUCCUAUCAGCAUACAUUGGCAGGCGAACAAUUUGGGCGAUUUCAUUUAGCAAGACAUCCUGCGUGAUAUUGUCUUUAAUGCUCCGCAUAACCUGAAUUAAUUAUACACAGCAACGUUAGUACACAUACUUCAGUAUGCCUUCAAGGAAGUUUAUUAAUAAGUUGUGUACGAUAACCUUUCUAUAGGUGUUGAACUCAUUUGGAUUGGACUUGUCUGUUCUUGUACGCAUGUAUACCCAGACCUGUUUGUUAGCAUCCCAAGAACACUCAAUGAUCUUGCCAUUGAACGCUGAAGGAUCUGAUUCUGCAAAUAGUCACUAUUGGCAUUAAAAUAAAAUUUCAUCAUAUGGUAUGUACAGAAGAACCUCCAUAAGAUGCUUAUAGAAUAUUAUAUAACCUUCUGAAUUUCAUCCGACCCUUCUAAUAAUCAAGGCAGGUAUGGGAAGCACCUUCGCUUAAGGUUACUCGAUUACCCUAAUAAGCCACUACUAGACAGGCCCCUCAGGUUAAACAGACCCAUAAAAAAGACCUUGUUAGUAAUUUGGAUAAACUCAGAAUAUCCAUAUGUACUGUCACCGACCCAUCGUAACUCUGAAAAUCAACACGAUAGCCAACUGAAUUACUAAGAUUAACUUCUGUGGGAACCAAAGAACUUGCACACGACUUCUUUAUAGAGUCCGUUGGAUGAAUUCAUUUUUGAAGAUAUAAAAUUUUGUUCACAAUGCUAGAUCGCAACGAUAGAAAUGACAAAAGAAAGAAGUCAUGUAAUAAAAAAGCAGGAAAUGGAAGAUGUGAGUGUUUUCUUGGUUUACAAAUUGGCACACCGUGAAGUUUCCGUAACAGAAAAUUACAUCCCAUGUCAUCUCUCAUUUGGGCAGAACACACAAAUCCCUCCAAUAAAGACAAUUUUUUCUCAAGGAAACCUAAGUACAUCUUCACAGUAUUCUGCCUAGUUUCUCAAUAAAUAAUAUCAUAAUUCACAAGGCACAAAUGGAAAAGAUUUGAGUUACGUAAUUACUUUCAAAAAGAACACUCCCUUCCACUACCCUCUUUUUUCGUCCUUCAUUGAGAAUAAGCAGCUGACGAUAGUCAUCUGUCACCUGUUGAGACAUGCACAUAUGAUUAGGUAGUGUGAAAAAUGUAAGAUUAUCACCACUAGAGGAGAAGACCACUUGCCAGAACUAAAAGUAAUCAGUAACUAAUAGCUAGAAAAACAACCUCAAAAAGGAAAUCAAUUGUAUCUGAAUAUUUCCACUUUAGGAGGCCUUCAUGUGUUCGGAGAACGUAAGGAUCAUCCCAUCCCUGAAAGAAGCAAACAACUGAAAACAUUUAUUCCAGCCUAUAAUGAAUGUGAUCAGGUUUUGUUGUUUAAUUGGUAACACAAUGAUGAGUUACAAAAGGCCUGUUCUAAACUAUGAACUUAAAUCUAGAAGAUAAUUCCAGAUGAAAUGAUUCAUCAUGCCAAGAGAAUAGUUAUAUGAGUAACAGACCAUUGAGAUAUUUGGAUAAAUUGUUUUUCAGUGUCUCUAGUUAUUGACUUAUUUCCUUCAGCUGCAUCUACAUGUUUUCCGAUAUUCCUAAAUUCUACUGUUUGUCUGUAGUCAGUGCCGGAUUCCAUUCAUCCUAAACCACUAAUAUACCAUAAUAUUAACUAAAUCCUCGAUAAAUUCCUCUUAUUUAUAUUAGAAAAAUCAGGAAAUUAACUAAAAUAACUAAGAAUUCCAUAAUAUGGUUAUGAUCAUCUUCAGGCAUUGAGUGAAUGUGAAGAUGCCUGAGAUUCAAAACCAUCCUUCCGGGUAAGAGGAUGUUGUAAUAUCUUUUGUUGGAGGGUUUGUGUAGUGUAAUAUCGUUUUCCCACGUUGUUAUCUUCUUAUAAUUAUUUCAGAAAACAUCUUUCAGCAAAAGAUAAUAUAAUAAAUAGAAAUUGCUAUGUCUCAUAAUAAGACUAGUUAAGUGCACUGCAAAACUUUUCAAGUACCUGGAAAAUAAGACCAUCUGCUUCAUGUGAAAGCUUUGGAAUAAAGUUCUCUAACAGCUUGGUAACAACAGAUAGCAACCAAAAAUCCUUCCUCCUAACCUGUUUAUGCACCAAAACCAUUACCUCAUGAAAAAAAAAAUUCCAAAAAGGGAGACAGUUACAGCAAGACCUAUAAAUUUGAUGUGACAUACUCUGAAUGGUUCCAUGUCAUAUCUAUAAUAAGGAAUUCUACUCUGAUCGAAGAAACGACGUUCAAGAUUCCGUGGUUCAAUGACUUCUCUCUCAAGCCGUUUCCAUCUUUCACAAAACGGAAGCUGCAUCAAAUGGUGAGCAUAAUCAUCAGAUUGUGUGAUUUGCAAAUGAGAAAAAAUAAAAUUAAGAAAGCAAAAGUAAACUCAAAAUGGGUUUCUUGCAUCUGACCUCCACAACAGGCACGCCGUUGAUUGCCAUGACAUCAUAGAUCAGAUAUCUUCUCACCUGCUUCUGAGUAUCCGGCAGAGUCUCAAUCACCAUUUCGCCAUCCAGUAAUGUGAUGUUAUGUGUUUCUUUAUCAAAACCCUUUCAAACACAUUUGCAGAUUGUCAGGUCAUUGAUGUAUAUUAAGUAAGAAGAAAAUCUCACAAGGAGAAAGACACAAAACUGACCUCAUUAUUUUGUUUCAAAGGAAACCGCACCCGGACCCUUCGGAAACAAAAUUUUCUAUCAAUCAAAUAACAACCAUCCCAUGUAAUAAGCAUCAUAUAUCUGGUCCCAUCAGCUUUCCAUGUAGCAUAAUAAUAACGCUGCCUUAGCAGUUGUAGAUUGUCCCUGCAGACAAUCGGAUAGAAAAUGACGCCCAAAUGCGUAGUGAAGACAAUGAUAAGCAAGAAAAAACUUCAAGUCAGUGAAACAAUCUCAUUCCUUAAAUACCUGAAAUGGAAUUCUAAUUGUCUUGUUUCUACUCCACAUCCAAAAUGACAUAUGUAUUACAAACUUUGAUGGUUCUAACUAAAUUACCCAGAUAAUAUGCGAAACAAAGUUUAGACUAUUGAUUUCAUAGAACCUUCAAUGGAUACGGAUACGGCUAUACUCAUAGAUAUGCUAGUACUGUGUGUGUGUGUGUGUGUUUUUCUUCUAGAUUUCAUAUGUUAGAUCGUAAUUACAAUCACAUUUAAUAUGAUAUAUUCUUGAAUGUUACAACAAUAAUGAAUUCUAUGGACAUGGUAUCUGAAUGUCUCUAUGACGAAACAUAUAAGAAACCUAUCAAGAGGUCAGAAAACAAACAUAAGCACAAUAGAAUGACGAAAAGGUGUUGAAGAAGUAUCCAUAAAGUAGCGGGUGACAACAUUGGAAUUGUAUCCUAUGGAUACGGGUACGCUGGACUAAACAUAUCAGGGAUUCCAGGUACCAUAGAGGCAUAGAUGGUAAUAGGUAGAGGCUUAGCCCAAACAUUUAGCAUUGACAGAACAAAUCUUGCUGCUACAUUCAACUCGAGCUUUUUCGUAUGAGGGAAUUACAUAUGUUCUUUGUACCUUAUUUGGAUAAGAGAGAGAGCUUAAUUUGCAGGUGCUAGGGACUCAUCUAAGCUACCUUAGAGUACAAUAUGAAUUUCUAUUCGGCAUUUAAUUUUCCUUGGUAGGAGUCCCCACAAGCCCUUCUAUUUUCCAAUUUUUCCUAUGUAAAUACUCAGCAAAAUCAUAUAACUGUAACUAGGCAAGCAAAAGAUCUGGAAGAAAAAAGAGGGAAGUUUGACCUGUUAAGUGAAACUGGGUGUGAUCCUGGAAAUUGCAUGUUUCCUUUUGCCUGAGACCAACAGGGUAAAAGAAGAGGAAAAAAAAUAAAAAAAUCAGAGAUGCAAUUAAACUAUCAAAUAAAUUUUGAAGGAAUGUACAAGAAAUUAGUGAGUCAACUACUUUUACAUGCAAGAAAGUCAAAAACAUUGCCCCAAAAGAAAAUUCCACGAACUAGUGUUUCGAAAUCGACGAGCAAACUCCCUAAUAUAGUUCUGUUGAGAAAAGUUGACUGGAGAAUGGUCUAGAGUAAGAAAAUUAGGCUAGAUUACUUUACAAUGAAGUAACAAAAGAUCAUCUGGAAAAGGUUAGCUCGGAAAGGUGGCUACUGAAAUAUCAUUAGAUGAGUUGAACUAAAGUCAACAAAAUGUUCGAAGAGGAGCACUCACCCUUCUACCUUGACCAAGUAAAUCGUAACAACAUUGUUGCAUCAUAUCAUUCUCGUCGUAAGGUAAUGCAUCACCUAUAACGUCAUCAUUUGUCAUUUCCUUGUUUUCCAAAACCUCCUGCAACAAAGAGAAUAACUUGUAAAUUAUACCACAGAAAUUUUCCAAAAGCUUCAUAAUUUUAUAGAUGCAAAUCCAAAGUUAAGAAAAAUCCUCAUUGCUGUACACCCGGUCCUAGAACCAUAAAGCGUGUUUCUACUGCUAUUCUAUCUAAACCUUGUUUUCCGUUCAAAUUGGUCUAACUUGUAAGUGGGGAUUCACCUCUGCUUUUUUUUUUUUGUUCAUGUGUGUUUUGUCGUUACAACCAUAUUUAGCAAUGAUGAUAUACAACCUCAAUAGUGUGAUUCCAUAGGGGAUACUACCUCAUCACUGUGACUGUAUUAACUAUUAACUCAAAAAGGUAACAAGUCGUACUUACUAGGAACGAUAUACUUACAUGAACAGAAGAAGAACCACUAUCCUCAUCUUGCAUCAUUUUUCCAUUAAGAUCAAAUUCAGAUGAUCUCUUCCACUCUGGAGUCAGAGGACACUCUAUUAUCUCAGGUCUUCUUUCACCAUAAAAUGUGUAUAGUUCAUCAAUAUAGUCCUGCUUAUAGAUUCCUGGAGGACGUGCAUUAGCAAAUCGUUGUAGAGCCUGCCAGAUAAACAAUGCAAAACAACGCUCAACAUAACUACAUCCAGCAAACCAUAACAUAGAUUAAUGUAAGACAAACAUAUGCUGCUCACCUCAGUGACAGAGACAGAUUGCGAACGCACAAGAAAGUGAACAAUCAUGUAACCUGUGCGGUUAAACCCAUGAGUACAAUGAACAAGAAUAUACUUUCUGUUUGACUGCUUUUGGCUGGAGUAGAACUGUGAAACCUGGAAAAAGAACUAAAGAUAAGUAAGAAAUUACAAUUUAUAUUGUGUUUAUUAUGCAGGUGGUGAGUUGUUGGCAUAUAGAAAAAUGCUAAAACAUGAUUAAUUCUCAGUAUGUGCACUCCUCCACAUGUGGCAAACAUACAUAUAAAACCCCUCCAAACUGGUGGAAUCAGAGCCUAACAAUCAACAUACGUGGCCAUGUGGGUAUGAAAAUUUUGGAAUGAACCAAUUCCAGCAUUAGGGAAAAAGAAAUUACCUCAUAGAUGAAAUCAUUUACAGAUUCAUUGUCAGGUACAGAACCCCUUCCUUUGCAUGCAAUCUAAAAUAUACAAGUAUCUUAGCACAUUAGAAAUUAUAUCGCAUUCAAUUGCAGUCAAUAACGCUUAAUCAAGAUUUAGAUAAAAUUACUUUUACAGUUGGAAGUAAAAAAGGAAUCUGUUUCUCACCUUUACAUGCCUAGUACCUGCUUUAAUUUUCUUCCAAUCAGAUGUGGGAUAAUAGCGACUUGUGUUUGUUAGAUCAAUCACCAAACCAAUCUGAAAAAACAUGAUAAAAUACUAUCAAGUAAUAACAUGACUUUUUUUUUUACCACAAUAGAUGAAUUCAUUUAUUUUUCUAAAUAAAACCUAGUAGCAAAUCUUUAUUAAUUGUGUUAAAUAUCUAUAAACAAAAAUGACUCUUCACAAACCAAAAGAAAAUGUAAGCAAAAUUAACUUCUGAACAUUGUGAGAAAUGUAAAGAAGAAAAAGAGACAUAUAACAUAUAGAACUGUCAAAUGAUACACAAUGCUCAAUCAGGGAUUAUGGCUCAGUCGUAAAAUAAAACUAUUGCCAAAGCUUUGUAGUGGCAUCCAACAUUCCGAAUAACAUGGAUAUGAACAAUUCAAACAAGAUAAUUACAUCCAGAGGUUUCAAUCAUUGACUGACAUAUGAAGAAGACUAGCACAAGCAGAAUCUACGGAAGUUUGACGGCAUUAAAAAGUUAAUAUAACAAGAACUCAGACAGUACUACUUACUUCCCUUCUCAACUUGCCUUGUUCAUGAACUGCAUCUCUACAAGAGUAUCUCUUACCAUGGAUGAUAAAAUUAUCACCUAGUGGAACUUUAGAAGGAAUAAUGUAGUCAAUAUUCUGACCAUAAGCCGGGCAACCCAACCAGCCUGCAAAAUGAAAAACAUUAGUAAUAGUUUAUAGGACAAACAAAACCAGAGAACAAUCAUGCUUAAUAUGUCACAAGUCACCAAUCUGAACAGAUUCAACAGCAGAAGCUAAUGAAAUGGUGAAGAUAUAUAAAAGAAACCAACAAAUACCGUGAUGAUUUGAGUAUCUGACAUCAGCAAGUGCUGCUAUACACCUAUACCUAACAAAAGCCUAUUUAUUUCACUACGUCAUGAAAAAGUAUGGCUGGGGACUAACCCUGACCAUGAGUAGUACCUCUGUGUUACCAAUCCUUGCUUGACAGAUACUUACUAGAAUAAAAAUGAAAAAAUAAGGGUCUGUUUGAUUGGUCCAUGCAAUUAUUCCCUGAGAAGUAUCGGAUUACACAGAUUUUACAUUGAUUAUGUAAGAAAAAUGCUUAAAUAUCAAAGAAUAUCGGACAGAAUCUGAUAUUUUCGGGGAACUUUAGUUGCCAAUUCUAUAGAAACUUUUCCCUGCUUAUCCCCUAAAAGAAAUUCCCGCUAUAUUAGAGCUAUAAUGAUAGUAAUAAUUCCCACAAACGUGGAUGGAGAGGACACUUGUAACGGUUUAAUUGAAGAUUGGUGGAGUUUAAUUAAAGAUUUGUUGAAGAUAGAAUCAAACACUCCGAUAUGGAAUCCGAUACUUCCCCGGGAAUGAUUACACGGACCAAUCAAACAGACCCUAAAUAAAAGCCUACUGCAUAACAUUUGUCUCUUCUAAAAAUUAGUGUUCAACGCCAUCAUAUUAACAUUUUAUUAUACAAACUCCCAUUUGUUAUGCAUAACUUACCCCACCAUUAGCAUGGCAUCCAAGUCAUGUGAUCUUCCAUUAUUUUCCAAAAAUUCAUUACAAUGAAUGUCCUGAAUCUACAAAGAUUCUCUCCCCUGAACUCAUAUUUCUGGUCCAUCUCUCAUCCAAUGUACACGUUCAACAAGCUUCUUCUUUAUGAUUACAUCACAUUUGGGUUUCUUCUUUUAAAUAACCCCAUCCAUUUAAAAAGUAAUACCAAAGUUUCUAUCGCUUCACUCUACCAAACAUAUUACCUUGUGACCUGGUGCUCCCGAUAAUAGUAACAACAAUUUAUAACAACAUUUCAAGUAGUUCAGAAUUACAGCAGCAGGGUCAGUUUAUACUCUUAAUACUACAGUAUGAUGGAUGACAAUUUAUAACAUUUCAAGUAGUAAGCAGGAUCAGUUUAUAAUUUUAAUACUAUGAUGGGUGAUAUUAAUAAUUACUCUGUAUGUGUGUAUGUAGUCUGUGUGCCAAAGAAAAACUGAUAUCAAUGUGACUGCAAGUCGAUGAAUGGAAUGAAAAUAUCAGUUGUAAGAGUACAUACCUUCAGGAAGCUUAUUUCUGUCAUACGGUCUAGAGUGUUUGUUAUUAUUAUGAUGAUAACCUUGACCACCUCUAUAAUAAUGUCCACCACCAUGGUUUGACCCUUCACCAGGGUAAUCUCUUUUAAAUCCCCUACGUCUAUCUUCUUGUUCCUAAACAAUGAAAAUAAAAACAAAAUCCAAUGAAUUCAACAUUAAACAAACUUUAAAUUAAUCAUUAAGAAAGAAAGAAGAUAGAUUACUCUGCUACGUGGUUCUUGAUCAUAGUGACCUCGAAAUAUCUCAUCUUCAUGAUCUUCAGGUACCACAUUCAAAUCCAUCUGAGAUAAAAGUGAGAUGACUAGAACAUAAAUCUCUUAUUAAAUUCUUCAAUCGAACAAUAGUAACAGAUUAAGAUUAGAAAACAGUAAAUUAGGGUUUCUAAGUAAGAAAAUUUUCUUCCAUUAAACUCUAACUCGAAGCUUACUUACGAGUUCGUGAGAAUGCAAUAGUACUUCAAGUAUGCGACGCGUGCGAUUAGUUCUCUGAGUGACGAUUGACGAAUGAUCGAACUUCGAAACCGGGAGAGAGUUAUUAAACUUAUUGCAACUUAAAUAGAAGAAGAAGAGAGAGAUUCUCGUGAUGUGUAGAAUCUAACGGUCUAAGAGCAUUCCCAAUAGUAAAAGGGUUUUAUGGGUGCCACAUAGGAGAGAGGGGAAAGGUUUUAGCAAAUAAUUUAUGUUAAAAGUGAUUAGUACUUUUAGAGUUACCCAUGGUUAGUUUUAAAAUAAGUGUUAAAACUUAGUUUCACUUUUUCAAAAAAAAAUAUAGUGUACAUUGUGAUGAAAUCUAAUUUUUAAUUAAUAAAAUGAUCCUACGUGGCACUUUUAACUCUUUGGCAAAUUUGCCAAGGAGAUAAAAGUGUUUUGCUUGAAAAGUGUGUUAAAACCCACUAUUGGCAAGAGUUUUUUCUUAAAAAUGGCUAAAAGUGAUUUAAAACCUACCAUUGGGAAUGCUCUAACCAACGUUAUUUACUGCUAUGUCUCUAUCUGGCGAACAAAUCUACAAAUCUAGAGAAGGGAAUCCGGGUUACGUACGGUUUCAGACCCAUUUUUGGCAACCGACUUGCUCAUUACGGAAUGGGUCAGAUUUGGUUAAUUUCAGGCCCAAAAUUAAAAUCAAUGGAUUGUCAGCCCGUAAAAGGUCAGAUUUGAUUUGACCGUUUCAUAAGGGUGAUGGGCUUACAUUUUCAAAAUAAAGCCCAGUUUGUAGCACGCUCUCCAUAUUUGUGACGUUUUUUUUUUCUUAGGAAUAUUUUGUAGUGACGUAGAUUUUUCUAUUAUAGACAAAGAGCCAAGGAUGAUGAAACCAUAGUACAAAAAGAUCUUCAAGAUGAAGCUUCUUGUGAGUUUCGUAGUUCGAAAGGUGGAUUUUAUGGGAUUUUGUUUGCUUCUGAGGUACUUAAAGUGCUCUUUCUGGAUAAUGUGGUGGUUUUGCUGAUUUCCAAUUCUGCAGGGCAGUUUUAGUAAAACUACUUUAGUUGAUUGAUUACUCUUAUUCAGCUAGUCACUAGUCAUGUCUUCUUUCUCGGAUCAAAUGGAACAUGGGAAUUCAACCCAAACUCCUUCAAGUAGAGGAAGUUCUGGUAUGUCAAACUUUAUUUGUUUAUGUAUAAUGAUUAACGAACCCUUUUGUUUGCCUGCUGAUUGGUAUUUCAUUUCAGAAACUAUAUGCAUUUUGUUUGUACAGAAUUGACCAUUGUUGUAUGAGUCACUCCACAAGUAGAUAGAAGGUAAUAUAUGGUAGUAGUAUAUAAUAUAUAUAGGUUCAUCUGUCGACGCACUAGCUAAAGUGAUAUUUCGGUACUUUUCAUUGUAAUUAGAAGGUGACUUUUGUGUACAGAAAUGGAACGAACUCAAUCUCAAAUGGAGUCAGGUGUAUAUAUCACAUCUUAUGCCGCGGCAAUGUUCAUUGCUGCUAUGGUAACAAUUGGGGUUCUAUUCAUCACAAUUAUUGCCACUUUAACUGUUAUGCUGCGAUCUUGCCAGAAUAGGAAUGCUGGAGUUCUUCAGCUUGGGGUAAGAAGUGAUGAAAAAAUGUUCAUUUUACAUGCAGAGCUUAACAGAUUGGAAGUAGAGGAGUUUCCUUCAAUUUGCAAGACUCAUAUCAUUCAGUAUUUCAAAGAAGGUGAUCAAUAUCUAAGAGACUUGAAAUGGACCAUUUGGAUGAUUCAUAGUUACUUAAAUAGUUUAAAACCUCAUGCUGAUGGUUUGGAUGUGGUGUUGAUGGACUUAGAUGAUAUCCUCAACGUUGUAGAGGACAAGCAUCAAGCAGCUGCACAUAUUUUAGAUUUAUACACAAAGCUCCAAGCUAGUGGGUGGUCUUUAAUUUUAAUUACUAGGAAACCCGAAACGCUGCAUAUUGUAACCAUGGAGACUCUCAUUUCUUCUGGAUACAAAAGCUGGUCUUCUUUGAUUAUGAGGUAUAUGAUCUAUUAGUGUACUUUAUUACUCUAGUAUCACCUGGCUUUGUUAAGGAAUCAGGUUAUUGCAGAUCAGAUGAUGAAAUGCUGAUGGAAAGCUGGGCAUACUUUUCCAACAGACGAGCAGUGUUGCAGAAGCUGGAUUUCCGCAUAUCAAGUGUGAUCAGCAGCCAUAUGGAUGCAUUAACAGGUCCAUGUUUAGGCAAACGAGUUUUCAAGCUUCCAAGUCCUCCCAAUUGACCCUAACAGCCAUACGUCACGAGUUUGUAGCAGCUAUGAAGACAUCUCGAGGUGUACAUACAUGGGGGAAAUUGCAGUACAUGUUUCUCCUUUCUCUUUGACUUCAGAACACUCAGAAGAAUGAAAAACAAAAAAUUCAAUAUCUUCAGUGCACUUAUAUAUUCACCAGAUUGUAAUCCAAUUGAGCUACAUAUUGAGUAUUUCAACAAAAUCUAUAUAAUACGAAUACAGUUAUCAGCAAUCUCAACUGAUGAACAUAUGAUUGCAGAAAGCAUAUCGACAACUCAUCUAUUCUACAUAAUCAGCCUGAUAUGGUUUACGAUUCACCCUGCAUAAAUACCUAGAUCACUCUUUAAUUCAAUAUGCUAAAUGAAUAGCAACUUUCCUACUCAAAAUGUCAAUACAACAGCUUAAUUUAAACAUGGGAAGGAGAUGUUCCACAUAAAAGGCCAAUUCAAUGAUAUCAUUGUUGUCAAGAUCGUCAUUAGGCUUCCAUCUUCACAUCCAUAGGUAUUGUCUUCUCUCCAGAACCAUAGGGCUCUGAGGCCAUUGGUUCUGCUGGCUGGACUGAUGCAGAUUUUGAAUCCAUUUCCACAAAUGGGCUUUUUGUUUGAGCUGUAUUGGAGUCUAUGUCCAUGGCAGAAGUUCUAGGAGGCGAUGGAGGUUUCACCUCCACAUCAGGGUAAGCAGCUUUGAACCUUGCUCGCAAGCCUUCAUCAACUAACCGCACACCAUUCAACUGGUUACCUAACGAUAUCCACCUGAUACGUAUGACAAAAAGAAACACAAUUUAGUAAAUUUACAAUAGCAGGGCAGGUGUAAUAGGUCACUACUCAUUAUAGAACAUAAAAGAUUUAGAUACUUAACACAUCUUCAUAAUUACCUAUGUAAGAAAGAUGAUAUAAUAGGAUGGAUAGGAAUAUUUUUAUGGAACAAUUGUUUGGCCUAAUAAACUGCAAUGUAAAGUGUCAGCCUAACAUGUAUCCACCUGAUUCGCUAUUUUUUUUUUUUUUUUUUCAAUUUCCAUUCAAUUAACAGAAAAAAAAAAAAAUGUUUACUCUCACUAAGACUUAUUCCUCCACAAGCCGCCCUCUCAUUUUUAAGGAUUAGGAUCUUUUGCAAGGGUGUGACACUAAUACAAAAUAGUUGGCAACAGAGAACCCUCUUUGGAAAGACUAGAACAAACAGACAGCCCUUUCUGAGCCGGAAAAUAAGGAAUUUCACAGUGUAGGUAAAAAACAUACCCAGCAUGUGUGUUGUUCAUUCGUGCAAACAAUUCUAGCUUUCUUGUCCUUGGACUUAUUCUCUCCAGCAAAGGGUACAUCUGCAACCAGAUCUUUUUAGCUUCAGUUUGCAUCAGAUAAGCUACUUAAAGACCCAGAGUAUGUAUCAAGGCGAAAAUCAAGAAAUACCAGUAUCCUUCUUACCUCAUCUGGUUUACGACUAGUCUCUCGAACCUCAGCAACAAUUACAUCAGUAUCAAUGUUCCUGUUUAGUUCUGGAUUACCCUUUAUCCCAACAAGGCAAUGCUCUUUGCUGUGGUUCAGCCAAUGACCAGUGCGGCCAGUUCUAAUAAUUCUCUGAAGCUGAUUAGUUUUCACCCAAAUGAGCUCCUCGACGCGUUUAUAUCCCCAAAGUUCUAAGCUGAUGAAAUAAUACUACACAUAAUAAGAUAACUUUUGGAAUACAGAAGGAAUGAUUUCAAAACUCAUAGUAUCAAGUGCCAAACACAAAAAGAGAAAAAGCUUUGGGAUUCAAUUUAGAAGACUUUUUAUACCAAUCACGUCCAAGUUCCAUAGCACGUCCAGUGACCCAAAGGAAUAUUAAACCAUCUGUCUGCAGAGCAGGCACGUUAAGAUUCUUCAUUUCCUCAUCAGCCAUUGUUCCAUAAGGAAGUUCCAUAUGAAUGUCCCAAGGUGGAUCAGCCAUAAUAAUUCCAAACUGCCCUAAGAUGUCCAUCCUAAAUGAACGAAUAUCACAGUUUAUCCAUUGUGGCUCACCAAGCUCUACCUCUGAACAGUACUCAGCACGUUGAGAUUUUAUCAUAGUGGUAGGAGCAGCUCCACCCCCCAUCAUCGUAGGUGGCACAUCUUGGGUUGGAUCAAGUUCAUAAUGAACAAACUUGCACGUCUGACAAUAAAAACAUGAAUUAAUCAUAAUAAAACGGGUUCAUCAUGUAUGUAAAGCUACAUACUUUUUUUUUUUACUGACGAUGUGGAUAUAAGGAUUAUCACCUUCAUGUGACGACAAGUAUCCAGAAACGAGCAAUCCCCUAAACCAACGUCAGUGUGUUGUGCGAUUAUCCGUCGAAAAUGAACCUAACAACACAAGAUGUGUCCAUCAAAGCAGUGUCAUGUAUCAAACAAUCCUUAAACUGAAUAGCAUUAACAGAUAUACAAUACAUUAAAGAGAGAUUAGCAUCAGUGUGCUAAACAAACUACAUGCCAAACAGACACAAGACACCAAAAAAAAAAAACUUCAAUGCAAUAUUAAAAGAGGAAAAAUAAGAAGCAACAUCAUACUAACCUUCCCACAUGCAACAUAUGAACCAGAUUGUCGCCGACAAUCUUCCUUUGUUACAGCUGUACAAUAUUCCUUUACUUGGGAACCUCCUUUGCUUUUGAACUAAAACACAAAUGAAACAAAUAUUUAAUUAUAUUAACCUGUACAGUUGGGAGAAAGAGGGAAACACCAUGAACAUAAUGACAUUUCAAGUUAAGACAAGUGCAAAGGCAAGUAAAUAAAAAGUACAAGUUGUCACUUUUUUAAUAGGCUAAAAUAAAACUAUAAUUAAAUUCUUUGAAAAAAAAAGAGUUGAAAUAUUUCCAUGCACCGUGGGUGCUAAUCUCAACAGGACUUAAACCUCAUAACACCAAGAUCAUUUAGGGCCCAUACGGCAACCAACGCAAAAUCAGGAAGGAAUUUCCGAGUAGUUUUCUAUAAAAGGAGAAAGCAGCAAGUAGAAAGCUAAAAAAGAAAACUUCUCCGAUAAUUCCUUUUCUAACUUUUGGAAAUUACUUUCUAAAAUACGUGUUGCUCAUUGCCGAAUAAGCUUCUGACUUCUUUACUUAUAGAAAGUAAAGAAACACAUCGGGAGGUUUGCCGAACGGGCCCUUAAUAGAAACACAGAACCAAGCAGACAAGUCCUUUUUACAACAAAAAGCCAAUAGGUUCCAAACCUUUGCUGCAACAGCUGUUUCCCUGGCUGUCGGCCGGUGGAUGAGGUCCAAAAGCUCCUCUCCAGUUUUAGACUUCUGCUGCUCCCUAAAGGACUUCUUACUCAGCAAUGCUUCAAGGUCCUUUAUAUCAUCUUCUUCACUUCUAGGCUUCUGGGUUGUAGAAUUAAGUCCACCCAUAGUUGAAUUUGUCCCUAAUGGUGGCCUGUGAAGAGGAGGAAUACCACCCAUACCUCGAGGAUUCCCCAUGAAUCCCAUACCUCGAGGCUCUCCCCUCGCAACCAUCAUUGGCCCUGGAGAUCCAGCAACAGAAAACAUUGAUGAAUCAUUAGGUCCAAGCCACAUAUCUUGGUGCCUUUGCAUUGCUCCUCCCAAUCCAUAAACUGCCCGAUUUGCGUCAUUUCCACUCGUUAUUGGCAUUUGUUGCAUCUGAUUGUCAUCAUUUGAAUUCAUUUCUUCCUGCUGCUGCGACGAAUGAUGAGAACUUUCUGGCAGUUCUUUUACCAAUCGACUCCGGUCGAUCCCCAAAACCAUAACCCGAGAUUUCCCAUUAGCUAAAAACUCCCCCAGUUCAACUCCAUUCUUAUCAUCAGCCAUUGACCUCAAGGCCAUUUCAACUGCCAAUAUCGCACCAGACUCUCCUCCAAGCUCAAGCAAAGCCAUUUUCUCUUCCGGUGUCGCAGACUGAUCAUUCUCCAGCUUUCUUAACACAGCAGCUGAAUCAAUUGCAGUAAAAGGUAUUCUUUCUAAUAAACAAACAGCAACCAUUGCUCGAACAACAGAUAGUGGGCUCCCGUUAUCGUCCAAAACAAGCAUAUUCUCGCUAUCAGAUCGACGAAUCUUCAAAGAAGUUUCAGACGAUUGUUUUGGGUUAUUAUUCUUCUUAGCAAAAGUGGUUUCGGGUUCCAGGGAAUGAUUAUUAGGUUGGUGUUCAGGCGUGAGUGUUCGAUUUUCAGGUGGAUUAAUAGCGUUAGGAUUUGGGGGUGGAAUUACAGUUGGAGUGUAUUGAAGACCAUUGAAGGCAGAAACAACCUUGAGAGAGAGAUCAAGAGAGGAAACAAGAUCUGGAACUAAACUUUGAAGAGAAGCAAUGUGUUGCUGUUGAACCAGGUGUUGGGCUUUAAUACGAGCUUCGAGUUGUUUUCGAACCUCUUUAAUUGAGGCAAUGUCGUCCUUGCCGUCUAUUUUGGUCUCCAUAUUUUUUCUCCUCUCUUUUGCCUUCUAUUUGUCACUACAACCCAGACUACUACACCUGCAGAACAGGCAACAGCACACCAAUAAACAAAUUAAUGUCAAAAAACCUUCCUUUAUUCAACAAAUACGCAAAUUGAAAGUUUAGCUAUUGAAUAACUGAUUCAAACAAAUAUAAUUACUGAUGCAAAAUCACAAAAACAGCUCAUCACAUUCAUAUAUAACAACUCCAUCAAACAAUGCAAUUUAAAGAAAAUAAUACCAAUGGUGAUUGCCAAAAAAGAAAAAAGAAAAAAAAUCAAACCUUUCAGAAAUUCGCCAAAUGCCCUUUAGCAAAUCUUGAUUCUUUGAUAGAAACAAAACCACCUCCGUUCAAAAACAAAGUUUUAAAUUUUGAAGAAAACUCUACCAUUUUGUAUGUUUUCAUGAAGAAAACAAAACCACCUCUCUUGUUAAUUUUCCUUUAAACCAGCUAAAGAACACUAUAUAGGAAAACAAUUCAAAAAACCAAUGUAAAGAAAGAAAUUGCAUAAAUACAGAAAGAAGAGACAACCAACCUAAACGAAAGAAACUGGAAGAAGGAAUUAAAGAGAUGAAAGAACCCUAAAACCCAUUGCAGCAACUGUUGUUCGUCGUUAUGAGGACUGAUAGAGAAGAAGAUGAGAAACGUGCAUAAGGUUUAGUUGCGCGUGCUGUGCGAGUGCGUGGUGAGUGACUGAGUGAGUAACUUAACUCGGACUCGUUUUAAGAACUCAAUGUGAUAUUUCGGACCCAAUGAAACCCGAAAAAAGAGGAGAUUUGAUCCAAAAGCCAAUUUAACACUUGUCUGCUUAUCUCACCUGUUCAUCAUGGAGAGAGUUCUAGUAAUCUAGUAGACCAAGAAAGAGACUGAAACCCAAUAAUAAUGAUUAGAUUUCUUCAAACUGUUUCAAAGAUAUGUGUCUCUUCAAUCUCGCUUUAAGGUAUAUAUUUUCAUUUUCGAUGUUGGUGGAAAUUGCAAAAGUCAUUUCUUUGAUUUAUUUAUUUCUGUUGAUAAUUAUUGAAGUGAAUCUUGAUUCGAGCUUUAAGUUAAUCUAGUUCACGAGAUUUAUCUGAAUCAAUGAAAAAGUUUGAAUCUUUAGUUAGGUGAACUACUCUACUCUUUAAUUAAUUGAAAACCCAUGAACCAUUUAAUUGUUUGGAGUAGAAAUUCAGUCUUUUUGUCCAUUAAUUUAAAGUAUAUAAAUCAUCUGAAUUGAAUCAGUCUUGUUUGAGUUGGACUGUGUGAAUUCAUUUAUUUAUGUGUGUUUAUAGACAAAAAUGUUCAAACAUGCUAUAAAGAAGUUGCAGAAUGAAGUAAGCUAUUUCAGAAACUAAUGAGGAAUUAUUCAGCCAUGUCUUCUUUCGCCGAACAAAUGGAACAUCAGAAUUCUACCCAAAAUCUUUCAAGUAGAGGAAAUUCUGGUAUGUGAAGCUUUCCUUAAAUGUGCAAAUGUGUAUUAUUAUAGACUGCUCCUAUGUGUUUGAUGAAAGACCAGAUCCAAAUGAAGCUAUGCAUGUGAGGCCAACUUAAGCAUGUUUGUUGUGCUUCUUAGACCUGCUUCUGACAUGUUUUCUUCAAUCUAUAAGAUAGGCCUGUUUCUGACCUGUAUAUGUCACAAGUUUCGUUCUAGACCCGGUGACUCAUUUUUUUUUUAUCUAUCUGAUGAGUGGGAAUACUUUGCAGUUCAUUAAUAUCUAUUUGAUAUAAAUUAUAAUUUGAUGCAUGCAGAAAUUGGAAGUCAUUAUCAAAUAGAGUCGGGUCUCUUUAUUACAUCUUUUGCUGCGGCAACCUUCAUUGCUGCUAUAGUAACAAUUGGGGUUCUAUUUAUCACAUUGGUUAUCACUUUAACUGUUAUGCUGCAAUCCUGUCGAAAUAGUAAUGCUGGACUUUUUCAGCUGGAGGAAAGAAGUGAUCAAUAUAACUAUUGCAGGAUUUUUGCUCUACAAGCAGAGCUUAAUAGAUUGGAAACCUAUGAGUAUCCUUCAAUCUGCAAGGCACAUGUUAUUCGAAAUAUUAAAGAAGGUCAAUAUCUAAGAGACUUGAAUUCCACUAUGCGGGUUGUCAGUAAUUACUAUAGUAGUUUGAAACCACAAGCUGAUUGUUUGGAUGUCGUGCUGUUGGAUGUGGAAGAUAUCCUUACUUCAAAUAAGCCUUAUAACGCUAGUCCAUUGCAGCACGUGUAAGUCUUUGUAUGGCAUGUCAUUGUGUUGAGCUUUAAAGACUUCUUUUUCGUACUUUUUAUGAGUUGAGACCUUCUUAAUGACAAACUUCUUUGUUUUUCCACCACACAGAUUAAGUGUUCUUGAGGACAUUAAUCAACUUGUACAGGAUAAGCUUCAAGCAAGUGUGCAUAUUCUAGAAUUAUACUCAAAGCUGCAAGCUAGUGGAUGGUCUUUGAUAUUUAUCACUAGGAAGCCUGAAAAGCUGCGAAAUGCGACCAUAGAGGCUCUCAUUUCUUCAGGAUAUGGAAGUUGGUCGUCUUUGGUUAUGAGGUAAUUUGCCUUCAGUUGAUAUGACUGUAAGACCCAGUGGAUAUUUGAAGUAUAUUUCUUUAUUUCGAACCAUCAAAUGCACAAGUGGCAGUUGGCAAACUCGAGUCACCUUUUCUGCACUGGCUCGUCCACUUACAAUAUGAAUAUCUUACUUACAAGAGGGACUAGUUUUAUUAUUGUAUAACAAUAUAACUUCAAAUGAUUGGUUUUUGCAGAUCAGAAGAUGAAAUGGUAAUGGAAAGCUGGGAGUACUUCUCCAGGAGAAGGGCAGAGUUGCAGAAGCUGGAUUUCCGCAUAUCAAGUGUGAUUAGCAGCCAUAUGGAUGCAUUAACAGGUCCAUGUUUAGGCAAACGCAAUUUUAAGCUUCCAAGACCUCUUAUUUACAACGGAGAGCUAUUUGUGAACAGUGGUAUAUAAAUUGUAUAAGCUAUAUAUUGGAUAGGAAUGUCUUUUAUUUGUACAGAAUGGACUUUUUUGUUAUUUGAAUUCGAAAUCAAAUUGAAUUUUCUGAUUGUAUGCAACUAAUGUAAUUUUAAUUUCCAAUAAAUAUAGAGUUGUUGUUUAUCAGAAGUUUGUUCUUCACUUCUUCCUUUACUAAAGAACUAAGUGAAAUGCACGUCCGUUGGACGAAUCGGGUGGGCAAUUUUUAUUUUUAACCUUGUGUUUUAUACCUUCAGUGAAUGACAAAAAGUUGCAAAAAUAUAUCAAGUUUGCAACCAUGAAAAUUUUAGGUGUGUAUUAUGUAGGUUAAUCCACCGGUAAUAAAUAAAUAAAUAAAAAAACAUAAACUUAGAUAACAAAACCUACUACAGUAAAGUAAAGAAUAAAUAUUUUUAUGUAACAAUUGUAAUUGUUGAACAUAAUAUAAGAGUUUAGAGAAACAACAUCACUCAAAAUUCAACAUUUAAAAAAAAAAGUAUAGAAAUACAAUCUCUUAAAUAAAUUUAAGUUGAAACUAACCUCAAGUAAAUCUUUAGUGAUUAAGCAAGAAAUUGUUAAACGCCUCGAUUAUUUGUGAGUUUUACUUUCAAUUAUUACAAUAGUUUUAUCAAAAGUUCAAAUUUAAAGUAGAAAGAGAAAGAGGGGGAAAAGAUGAGAGUGAAAAGAAGAAAAGGGAUAUAAGUCUCUUCGGUUUUGUUUCUUGAAUUUAUAACCACCCAGUUAGUUUCCUGGUUUGUAGGCAACUAAUUUAUAAAGUUUAUCUGCUUAUAAUGAAAUUACUUUGAUAACCUUAAAAAUAAAUCAAAUUAAAAAAGUGAUAUUUGAUUUUUGUUAAAGAGGAAAAAGAGUUUUUGGGUAUGAUUUCGGCAUCAGGAAAAAAACACUCCUACUGCGUUAUAAAAGUAGAGACUAAGUGAAUGCACGUCUGUUAGACUUAUCAUAUUCAGUUUCCUUGUUUUUUGGUAAAAACAAUGUUAUUUUCCUGAUUUAUAGGUAAUUACUUAAUAAAGUUUAAUUAUUUAUAUUGAAAUUACAUAAUAACCCUUUAUAUCAUAGAAGAUAUGUUUGAUUUUAGUGAAAGAGGAUGGAUUUUUUUGGUAAAAGUAUAGAAAUACAAUCCCUUAAAUAAAUUUAAGUUGAAACUAACCUCAACUAAAUCUUUAGUGAUUAAGCAAGAAAUUGUUAAACGUCUCGAUUACUUGUGAGUUUUACUUUCAAUUGUUACAAUAGUUUAUCAAAAGUUCAAAUUUAAAGUAGAAAGAGAGAGGGGGAAAAGAUAAGAGUGAACAGAAGAAAGGGGAUAUAAGUUUCUUCGGUUUUGUUUCUUGAAUUUGAUAACCACCCAGUUAGUUUCCUAGUUUGUAGGCAACUAAUUUAUAAAGUUUAUCUGUUUAUAAUGAAAUUACUUUGAUAACCCUAAAAAUAAAUUAAAUUAAAGAAGUAAUAUUUGAUUUCUGUUAAAGAGGAAAAAGAGUUUUUGGGUAUGAUUUCGGCAUCAGGAAAAAAACACUCCUUUUGCGUUAUAGAUCAAAUCUAUAUACUAUAUAAUAGUGGAGCCUAACAAGUGUCAUGUGGCGUGUUCUCAACAACUUCAGAAUAGAAUUUAAGCCCAACUUUAAGCCCAAUUGAAACCCAGUUGUAGUUAAAAAGGAAAUCCACCUUUCAUGUCAAGAGAGAUUUAUAGAAACCUUAAAACUCUUUAGAACUUAUUCUAAAUCUCUUUUUCCUACUAAAUUCUUCUUUUAUUUAAAAUCCUUAAUUCAUAUAUAAAAACCAUACUAAAUACAAAAAAUAUUAAUUAUAAAUCUCGACAAAUUUAGGUUAAGAAAGGCAUUAAAAAAAACUCGGUUCAACAAAUCACUUAUAAAGUCAUUAUAAAAUCUCUACAAAUUUAGGUUGAGAAGGGCAUUAAAAAAUGUUCAGUGAUUUUCCAUUUUAUUGAAUAACACAAAUCCCGGUGCGUAGCACGGGUUCAACAACUUGUGAAUAACAAAUGGGAAAUUCAAACAAUUCCAACUUCCAAGUUACGUGUAUUGCAACUCUAUUGGACUUCUGGGCCCACGUAGAUGGUAUAUUGGGCCCAUGGAUCUCAUUGCUCAUAAAAAAAAACGCCGACAACCAAUAAAAAAAGCCCACAUACAACCUGUCUACAAGUUCAUUUCGGUGUUUUCUUCACUUCCAUCGCAACCAUUUCGACCGGCAACAACAACUCAUACAGAACGCGAGGUAUGUUUUCGAUUUCGUUGAUUGGGAGUUUGAGUUCAAUUUUAAAAGUUAUAGUUUUCAUGCUAGUAAUUGGAUCUUCAGUUCUUAUUACUAAAAUUGUUGAUGCAUUGAAACUGUUUGACGAAAUGCCACAAAAAGAUUUCAAAUCAGAGAAAAUACUUUAAGAGUUUAGAGUAGAUCUUCACUAGUGUAUAGUAUAUAUCUGUUAUUAGUUUGUGAUGUCUUUUGUACCCCCUCCCCCCUUCUCCUCUCUUCAUUCUUAUGCGUUUUACAUUUUGGGUAGUAUGAGUUUUGUGAAAAUAGAUCACUUUUAAGUUAUAGAAACUUGUAUUGAUGGAAUGUGUUGAGAAAUGUAAGAUUGUGGGUGUUUUCAAGUUGUGAAUACUACAUUUUAGCACUUAUUGAUUGAUCAUGGAUAUAUUAUCAGAAAUUAUCGAUAUACGAAACACAAUUGGCUAUUAUGUGUUAUUGAUAUUAAAAAAAAAUUGUAUUUAAACUGUGAAGAAACAACAGCUCUUUAAAGUUUGUAGAUAAUAAUAAUGAUUAGAAGGCGAUUAUGAAGCAGCUUUAUUAUUUAAAAUUUGAGUUAGUCUAUGAAAAAGGAAUGCGGGAGGUGGGUGUAAUUUUUAAGUAAAAACAUAAUGAUAUUUUUUAGUCCACCAAUUAUAACGAAGCCUUCUACUGAGAAACAUCUUUAUUUCUUGAACAUGACAGACAAAAAUUUUAUACUGUCAUGCUGUCUCUAGUGGCCUAGACUCACUGAAACCAUUCUGCAAGUAUAACUGUUAGAAAUCUUGCUUGCAUGUUGCUUCUUUUUUGUGUAUCCAGUAUCCACCAUUGUUUCUGAGCAUUCACACCAAGUUGUUAUGUAAUAUGGAGUGCCGGUACCUUCCAACUUGUAAUUAUGGAGACUUGCUUAAUAAACGUUGUCCCAAAACUGAAAAGUUCUCUAGUCUCUACUGUAUUACUGUUAUUUUCUUAUAUUUCCUAUUUUUGAUUUGACCGACUGUUUGGGUACUUUGGGUUUAUAUUCUUUAUACCAAUAUGUUGGGGCUAAUGGCUUUAUAACCUAAAUGUACAGUUGGAACUAGUGAAAAAUGGGUCGAAAAGCUGGUGGGCUAUACAUAAACUCAAAGAAGUUUGGUGCAAUCCAAAAGCCAUGCAUGAAAGAGAUGCUGCAAUUUCUCAGCUGUAUGGCCCUUAACCAUAACAACGAUGAUAGGUGUGUGCGGCAAAAGGAGCUUCUGAGCACCUGCAUGGAUUCUCAGGUACAUAAUAUAUAUUGUCAGCAUAACUGACAAUACUAUUUAAUUACUGAAGAAGGUAUCCUUUCUUUCUAUAUGUUAAUACAUUGUGUCAAUACUAAUUCUUUGUGUCUAAUUUUGUUCCAGAGCAAACAAAGCAGAAAGCCAUUUGGAAGCAUCAACUACCACCUACAGAGGCUCAGCAGAGGCAGGAAAUAAUUGUUUCAGUUGCUGAGGGUAUAUUAGUGAAACUUUUAUCUUGAUUAAUCUCUGAAUUAACUAGUUAAAAAAAAAAAGGUUUUUUUUUAUAUCAAACCAAAGACCAUUAGUUGCUGAAAGCACCUUCUUGUAGUCACUGUGAAUGCAAAAAGGAGAUCUUUCAUAAAUAGAUAUCAUAUAAUGCAUUACGCAACAGUACAUUCUUGGUUUAAAAUAUUUACCACCAAAAUUUUCAGCAAUCUCUGAGUUGUAUGUAUGGCAUGGUAAAUUUGGAUGAGCUUGUUAAAGAGCAGAGUUUAACUGUUAUUUCACAAUGCAUCACAUUCUGUUGAACCAAUGUGUUUAAUUCCAAGAUCAAUUUUCUUAGAAGCUGUGCAUCUGUACUAUUUGAAACACUAUGCUUUUAGAGGUAAAGAGCAUAAUAUAUUGAAGCCUUUGAAAACCAGACUUUAGGAAAGCAUAACUUAUUUUCAAGUUCUUGUUGGUGUAUCAAUUUUAUAACAAGAGAACUCUUUAGGCUUGAACGCUGUAUCAGAACACUACCCUAGAAAUUAGGGCACUCACCUAUGUUGGUGGUACAUGUCUAGUUCCCCAGACAAGCACCAAGUGACCCUAUUUGAAAUAUGUGACACGAAUACAUAUAGUAGCUACCUAGGGAGAGAAAUUAGAGAGAGCAUCUGCAUUAUGUAGGCGAGACCGCGGGAUGGUUUAUGUUUCGUUGUAUGUUAUUUAGUGGGGCCUGCAGUUCAGGUGAACUUCUCCAUUACCUUUACUGUCAGUUUAUUUUAUCAUGCACCAGGAAAGCUCACAGCAGUUUCCACACCGGUCUUGUAUUAUGCCCUUGGCUGCUAAUAUAUAUAUACAUAUAUAUAUUGUGUGUGUGUGUGUGUGAUCACUGAGAGUAAUUACUGUUCUGUACUUAUUUGGUUGUAUUGCUAUUUAGACCAAUUAGUCUGCAAUCUAUCGUCGAAUAGGAUAAAAAUAGCAAAAGGAUAUCAACGCAGAAUAGUUAGUUUUUUAAUUUCCUAUAUUAUAAAAGAAAUUUUUGAAAUACUACACAUCCAUCUUGGGGUGCUUUUAAGUUCACUUUGCAAAUACACCAGACCUAGAUGCAAGUCAAAACAAUAAGAAUUGAAGUAUUAGGAAUUAGGAUAGUACCAGACUAUAUCCAAGUGCGUGAAGACUGUAAAAUAUGGUGGUCAUGACUAUUGUGACAUGCUGUUAGAAUCCCAAGUGAUGUUACUGCUCUGGUGGGCUAUGGGGCUUUGUGAAGCCUUCAAUGGCUGAGGAGCCAAAUGUUCUCCUAAAGUGUGAUGAGAAACUUUGUGCUUUUGUACAUUUCUGAAAUCCGAUUGCCAAUCAAAUUCGAUAUGAAGUUGGAAGUAGAAAUAAAGAAGGCUCGUUCAGUUACUGCUGUUGUAAGAAAUUCUCAACAGAACAAGGAUUGAAACAAACACCCAAGGGAUGAGAUUUCUGAAUACUUGCAAGGAAGUUGGGAGGAAAGUAUUUUUGAAGAAGGCGGCACUAUUAGAUUACAUGCUGACCCUCCAUAUGAAGAGGGUUUAUAUUGCAUUUGGUAUUGUCAAUAACGACGGGAUGUUUCCCUCAAGAAAGGUUUUUCAAAUGUGCUUUUGAACGCGACAUCUUGUACAGCAGCGGGUAAGUGUUGCUUCAUUAACUUGUAACCCUUGUGUAUGUAGCUGUUGAUAGGACAAGUAUAACAAAAUUCAUUGUUUAGUUUAGAGUAUCUCGUUGUAAACCCUGUUUUGCUUGCCUAUGCAAAUUUAUGCCAGGCCAGAAAGAUGAAGAAAUUGAACGAGAUUCCCAUUUAUUAUGCCAAAUUAAUAAACUACUUCGAUUCAAUACUUUAAUCUAUAGGAGCCUAUACGGCUAUACCAUUUUGCAUACAUAAGUUGGUUUCUUCACAAUAUCAACGAAAAUCCUAAGUAUCACAAAGGAUUUAACAUAUCAUUAAAUUGCAAUGUGACUAAUGAUUAAAUGAAGUUGCUAAAAUUAAGAUUUAAUCUUUUAAUAAUGCAUUGCAAUGGUAGUAUUUACCACACUAUGUAGUUUUUGAGAUGUAUAUAUAACAGCUAGAUGAAAUAAUUGAACAAUAAGCAAAAAAUACAUGGACUACCAAAGAAAAAGAAGACACCCUAUGACCCUAAUAACAUAAACCACAACAAAGCAAGUGCAAUAGAAAUUUUGUCGAAGUUUUGCCGGCCAUGAUCUGCUUCAAGAAAUCUUGAAAGGUUGGAAAAGUCUCGAUAUCUGAUCUUGAGAUUCACAUGAGAUGAGAGAAUUGACAUGAACUAUGAGUUUUUGAUCAUCUGUGAAAUUGAUCUUCAACAUCUUCAAUUUGCAGGAUUUGAGUUCAUAGGUAUAUAACGCAGAUUUUAUGUAAUGCUUAAAUAGUAUUACUUCACCGUUGCUCAAACUAAGAAUAGGAAUCAGAUUGCAUAGCUGAGGCCUAGGUCUUAGUCUAAUGCUACUUUCAAUGGAGGAACUGACAAUGCUAUGUCUUUUUAUCCAUUUUUCACUCUGAAAGUCCUCUAAAAUCCAGAUAUCUUUUUGGAAGUCGGACACAUGAAACAUAAUCGCUAAAUAUCCCCCCAUCUCAAUUAUCACGUAAGGUUUUCUCUCACCAUAAUCUGGGAUAGAUGUUUUUCGAGCCAAUUCAUCAGUUACAUCCAUAGAUAUAAUGUACUCAUGCGCACAAUUAACGUUCCAAUGCAAAACUUUGUCAUUCACUGCAAUUGGAUCACCCCACCUAAAGUAAUCUGGAUUAAAAGGCCUGUCAGAUAUGUAUUUAAAAGGUCCUGGAACCACUCUCCAUUCUGCAUCAAUACCUAAAGACCAUAUUUCAUAUCCCUUUUGAUCAGCAUACAUAUGUACUACUUUAAACACAUUCUUGGAUGAAUCGAAUGCAAGCCAAGAUGUACAAUCUUCAUGAGGACAAGAUGAAGGACAUUUGGGGAGUGUCGUUUUUCUCAUAGUAAGUGGAUUAAAGAUGUUAAGGCGUCCUGGACAAUCUAAUAUUGUGCUCUCAUCUGCCACCAAUAUCAAACCUCUGCAACUAUUCCUAGCCUGUCCCUUCCAGCUACCCAUACUAGAAUCACGUACGAGUUCGUCCUCUUUCAUAUCAAAUAUUUCAAAUUUGGAUUUACUUAUCCGACCUAAUCGAUGCCAACGCGUUGUAAGUAGAAUUAACUUGGGUCUAGAGUAGGAGUAGGGAACGUUUUUUUGAGCAAAAUCCUGUGUGGAAAUUACGUUCAACCAUUCAUGGCAUACAUACCUGAAAUUUCGAUAAAGAGUUUCUGGUGGGAUUCUGAUGAGUAUGUCGCAUAUGACGAGAUUCAUAGGAAUAGCUGAACUUUCUGCAGACUUCAUCACCAUCUGAUAUCUCUUCAUGUUCUUCUCUAUUCUCUUGUUUUUCUUUUUGAUUGUUGCCUUUUGUCUUGAUGGUUCAACAUGGUUGGAAACAAGUUGUGUGUUGUCGUUGUUCUCCAUGAUCUGUUCCUUUGCUAGUUCACCAUGAUCCUGCUGGUUUUUUUGCAUUAUGGCUAUGACCACCGAUUUCGUUUUGCUAGUUUAGCUAGACACGAAACGAGGCUAAUUAGGGUUUCUUCUUUCGUAUAUAUAACAAAUAUAAAUAAACGAGGUUAAUUAAGGAUAGGACCUUUAAUUAUAUACUUAGUGUUAAGAAGAGAACUCUAAUCAAAAUAUGUUUGUCCGUAGGUCUUCACCACAUCUAUGACCCUAGAAGAAAACCCAAAACCCAAAAGUAUGUUUCUUUUUAUAAGUAGUUAUAAGAUUUUCUAAUAGAAAUUGCCUUUAAAAAGUGGCGGUUACUAUAAGCUCCAUCCCCAAGCUUAUAGCAGCUAUAAGCUACUGGAUAAAAAAAAAAAAAAAACAUGCAGCACCUAAAUGUUGUACUAAUACAAAUUUUCUUAUUGUAAAUUUGUAAUUGUAGAAGAACCGCAUUGGUAUGCCGUAUGCAGUCUAUCUUUUGAGCUUUGAUUCUUGUAUUCUUUCUUAUUAAUUGAAAUCUGCACACUUAGCAAAAAGAAAGAGAAGCUAUCUGUCAUUCAAGCGUGCAAGGAUUUUGAUCGGAUUUUGAUCGAACCAGCAUCCCCUGGCUUACUGGGGCUUCCAUUAAGCAAGCUUCUGCUAGUUUAAUUAAGUCAAAGACAAAACAUAUAUACCUGUACUGUUUCCGAUGAAAAUUCAAGCCUAGACAGUACCUUUGAUGUUUACUGCUUAUUCUUUGAUAGUAUUAAGCCCGGACUAAUGACCAAACUACAAGGAUCAUUUGGUUUAGUGAUAUUCACACCUUGUGCUUUCAGCAUGUAAAACGACUAUGAAUCAGGGUUCCUACUCCAUUAUAUUAUGCUCAAACUAUAAAGAGCUAGCUUUAAUGUCUGAGUGUUAGUUGCAUGACAUAUCUGGUCACACAAUUGGCAUAUCCAAAAUUUGGUUUCUUAUGGUUAGAACAGAUCUGCUAAAGAGAUCGACAUAUAUGAAUUCCACAAAAAUGAAUUAACAAAAUGGCUGAACGAUAUUAUUUUGUACAAGAACUUAUUUGGAACCAUAAUGGACACAAUUCAAAGCAGGUAAUGAAGUUGUAGCUUAUAAGUACUGAAGUACUGAACAAUAUGCAAAAAAAGAAAACGACUAUCAAAAGAAAAGAAGACACACUAAUGCCUAAUUACCGAUAUCAAAAUAAAUCCAAGUAUGAAAACAAGGCCAAGUUUAAAUUGCAAACCCUUAUUCUUCUUCAAAAGCCUUACUUACGCCGACUCAGGACAGCUUAGUUCUCAGUGACUGGUCCUGAGUUCUCCAAGAGAUGAGACUGUCAACAUGAACAUCGAGAUCUCGGUAUCCAUUGAAAUUCAUCUUCAAUAUCUUCAGUAUGCCAAGUUUGAUAUCGUAGGUGUAAAAUUUUUUUUUUGCCCUGAUGAGUUUUUUUUGAAUAUAAUUAAAUCACCGUUGCUCAAGCUUAAGAUUGGAACAAGUUUCUUUAGCUGAGGCUUGGUAUUCAUUUUGCAUUUUACCGAUGAUGUAGUGAUACUAUGUCUUUUAAUCCAUUUACCUCUCUGAAAAUCCUGCAAAAUCCAUUCAUCAAUCUGGGUAUCUGACACGUUAACCAUAAUCGAUAAAUAUCCCCCCAUCUCGAUCAUAUUAUAACUACCCUCAAUAUCUGGAAGAAUUGUCUUCCGAGACAAUUCAUCACUUACAUCAAUAGAGAUAAUGUAUUUGUGUGAGGAAACAAUUCACUAAUACUGAAUCAUUCCAAUGGAAGUCAUCAGCCACACUAAAGGUCCUGUCAUAUUGAUCCUCAAACGGUCCAGGAACCACUCUCCAUUUUGUAUCAAUACCUAAGGACCAAAUCUCGAAUCCAUACUGAUCAGCAUACAUGUGUACUACUUUAAACACAUUGUUACUUGAAUCGAAUACAAGCGGACAAGCCAAGAUGAACACUCAUCGUGUAGACAACCUGAAGGACAUUUUGGUAGUGUGACUUUCUCUGAAGUAACUGGAUUGAAUACAUGAUGAUUUCCGUUAAGAGCCUUUGUUGUUUCAUCUACCAAUACCAAUCCUUUGCAACAAUUUCUAAGAAAUCCCUUCCAUCUUCCCACCUUAUAAUUGUGUACGAGUUCGCCUUCUUUCAUCUCUAGUACAUGGACUACCGAAUGUGAAAAACGCGGGAAGAGCAGGAUUAGCUUCGGUUUAGAGUAGGACAUGUUUUUAUGUAUAAAAUCUGGUGUCGAGAUUAUGUUAGACCACUCUUUGCAGACAUACCUAAAAUUUUGAAGAAGUAAAUCUGGUGGGAUUCUGAUGAGUAUCUUGGUGAUAAUGAGAUCCAUAGGAAGAGUAGUAGGCUCAUGUUUUAACACCUGAUAUCUCUUCAUGUUCUUCUUCUCUAUUCUCUUAUUUUUCUUCUUGAUUGCUGCUUUUUGUCUUGCUGAUUCUUCUUCAUGGCUGGAAACAAGUUGUGUGCUUGUGCUUUCCAUCUCCUUUGUUUAAACUUUCAACUGUACUCAAUAGGUCAGGUUGAGAGAAAGGUUACAAAGGAAAAGAAGACAAUCUAGGGUUAAUAUAAGUCGAUCUAUAAUGAAUAUUAUGACAAUAACCCAAAGAUAGUGGGAUUUAAAUCAACUAACUGGCGUUAAAAUUGUUUCCUUAAACACAGGAAGGGUUUUAAUAUAACAUCAACACUAUUAAGAAAAAAAAUGAUACACUAAUAAUAGAAGAUGUACAUCAGCAAUUAAGCAUUUAUGCAAGGAAAAUACUCAAAUUGAAUCUGAUUUACAACUCUGAUAAUAUUGCAACUAAGCAACUGAUCAAUCUUAAAGAAAGUCCAUACAGAUCAACAUAGACCUCUCUUGUUAUUAUCAAGAUUGAUCAUCACAAAAACGCGCAAAGGUAGACACUGGUCACUGGUGAAACCGAGGGUACAUGUAGGGGACAAAUGCUCAAAACGAAGAAUCUGAUGACAACUCUGAUUGAUAAGCUAAUAAUAAUAAUAUUAUCUGGUGUUGCAGAUAGGCGACUGCUCGACAAAUACCAGUCCAUCCACUUAUUCAUUCAAUACUGAGAAUCACAAAAACGCAAGGGAGACAUUGUGAUACUUCUACUUGUUUUUGCUUCUAUUUGGCUUGUUCGAAGAUGAAAUCGUCUGAAACACAAGAAAAUCACAUAGUUAAGACAUAAGAGAAAUAUCACUCUAGUUUACUAUCAACAAAAUCCAUAAAUUAAUGAAUCAAGUAUCUAUGUGUAUUACAGUAUCAGCUGCAGAAGGGAUCCAGUCAUUAGUGGCAGGGUUUCCCUUGCAAGAAGCGUGGGAUUCGCCGUGGGAAUCAGCUUCAAGCUUGAAACAGUUAUUGGUUGUGGUCUCCAUGCCUAUGAACCCUGUUCCUGUCUAAAGAAUUACAAAUCAUCAACAAGAUUAAAGGUUAUUUAUAUUAGUCCAAAAAUAUUCAAAUUCACAGUUAUUUUAAUUUCAAAGAAAGAAAUUUUGGGUAGAAUACUACUGUGUGAUGCUGUUUGUCUACACCAUUGAGAUCAUCAUAAUACUCUGUUUCCACAUAUUCCUCUGGUGUGUCACUCCCGUUGUAAUUCAGUUUCUUCAUUCAACAAUAAUAAAAAUCAAUUAAUCAAUAUUUCAGUGCUCUUCAUAGAUAUAGCUAAUUAAAUUAAAGAAAACCACCAACUUGUAAACGAGAUAAACCUGGGGAUCAUCACUCUCAAGAUGCUGAAACUUAAUCAAUUCAGGAAUAUUGAUGUCGCGAUCAAAAUUGCGUUGAGAGUCGGAGUAAUCAGAGGAAUAGUCACUGCGUUGAGGUUUAGUGUGGCGUUUAGGAGCAAUGGCAUCAAACUGCUCUCUAGUCUUUUCUUCUAUCUUUCUCUCCUCUUCCAAGGAAACAUGAACAUCACUCCUGUUUGGCCUCAUUGCCGACAUUUUUUUUUCUCUCUUAAUUUUCUUUCUCAAUAUAUCUUCUUUACAGAAAUUUAUACAGAAAAGAACAUGUAAAACUCUCUGCCAGAUAUUUUGAGUUACUAUCGAGAGAAAUAUCUGUUCAAGCUUAUCCAAAAGAAGAGCCCCACACAGUUAUUACUCAUCACUGGUGGCUCAUCAAUUACUCAAAGAGACUUUCUGUCGUGAAAGUGAAGGUCUAACUUUUCAACCUAUUAAUCAAGAAAGUGGGGCAUGUGGUUCUGGACUUGGUGUUGGUUGCAAGCCAUAAACCCAGGCACAAGCAAAUUUUUAUUUAGUUUUUUUUUUUUUUUUAGAUUAUUAGAGAUACCCUCUCCCCGUUUGAAUAUAAAAUUAGGACACCCCUAUUUCGACCCCUCAAUUUUCGUUUCCGGCCAAAAUAUGAUUUGAACUACCAAAAUUGCCUUUAUAACAGGUUAGAUUUUUUUAUGGUAUUUUAAAAAUUAAAACCACUUCCGCGUAUCAACCCAAAAGUGGUUUUCACCAUGAUAUUCGAUUUUUCGAUCUACGGCUUAAAUUAUAUCUAAAGAUAAACUAAGUAAUCUAGUCGUUGUUCUUUCGACACAUGGAUUUGACAAUUGAAGUAUAUCUUCUUCUCUUUUGUUCUUUUUCUAUUCAUCAUCACCAUUACAUGAAUGAAAAACAACAAUCAAAUCUAUGAAUUGAGAACUUCUUUACCUAAAGAACUUACUCAUAAUUGAAGAAUUUAAUCCUCACCUUCCUCAUCAUAUUUUUUGCACUAUAAAUUUCUAGUUCACCUUCCAUAAAAAAUUCUAGUUUCUCUCAACUCAAUUCUCUUAGUUUUGAGUAAAAUGAAGGUAAAAUCUUAAAAUAUAUCACAUUAUAAGCUUGAAUCUUAUUUUAAUAAGAUAGAUGUGCAUUGUCUUCCUCGGAUUUGUAUUCUUGUAAAAAUUUGUAUGUAACACUAAACUAAUAACCAAAUGUGCGGUAUCACAAUAUUUUUCAAAAGUGGAUUUACUUCAAAACCACAAGAGGGCAUUCUGGGUAGUUCAUGUCAUUUUUUUUACUAAGGGCCUGUUUGAUAACAUUCACCAAAUUAGCCACAAAAAGUGGCAAAUCCCAAAAUGUGGUGUAUUUGUUAUUUGCCAAGUAUUUUUUGCCUUCAUUCACCGAGAUUCGCCAAUUCGCCGUGUUUGAUAACCAAUCUGGCAAAUUUGUGGAAAACUCAUUUGCCAUCAUAUUUCUGUUUGAUAACAACUUCGGUGAAUAUGGUAAAACUGAUUUGCCAUUUUCUCUUGUGUUUGAUAACUUUUGUGAACAUGAUAAAGUGGCAAAUCCAUUUUUAUAAAAAGCCCAUUAGGUAGCUUGGGUCCAUGGAAGCCCAUGAAACUUGUUUUUUUUUUUAUUUUUCUAUAUCCACAAGAUAGUAAAAUAGGUCUGACAAAAGCCCAUUAGGUAGCAUUGGGUCCAUGGAAGCCCAUGAAACUUUUCUUUUUUUGUUUUUUCAUUUUUUUAUAUCCACAAGAUAGUAAAAUAGAUCUCACAAAAUAAAUCCAACAAUUUUUUAACUUACCAUAGAAAUACAAUAUUUAAACAAUCAUUAAAUCCAAUUGAAUGCAUUGGUUAUCAUGCUUGUUUAGAGUCUAUCAUGGAAAGUGCUACUGACAAAGAUGGAAUAGAGUGGCCAGAUUAGAUUUUCUUGAAUGAUUAAGUAAUAGAUGCCAAAGGCUAAACUUUGAAGCCGUUAGGAUUUUAGGUUGAUGUUUGAGCUUUACUGUAAGCAACUAAGCAUUGCAAUGAAUGGUUUCAUGUCCUUGAAAAAUAUUCAUUAUGUAAUUGGAAGAAGCUGAUGGUUGAGCUUUACUGGAAGCAUUGCAGUGAAUAAAAGUUCCACAGAAUACUAUGAAUGGUUUCAUGUCCUUGAGAAAUGAUCGCCAAGUGUGCUGGGGGGUAUUCCUAAGUUUUCUCUGUGUAUACUAUUAUGUAGCUGUGUAGUUAUUAUAUCAGAACCAGGUUUGGGUGUAAUGCUUUUGUUCCUGUUUGAUGAAUAUUUUGCUUACUAAAGGAGAAGAAAAUUAAUGUUGUUCUUAUGCUGAUAUACACUUCAGAUAGUUUGCUGGAAUUCUUGGUUUCUCUACUUAUUAGCAAUAUAAAUAGAUCCAUAAAGUAUUUGUAAGUUGUAACCCUGAAGUAUUGUUUAGAAAAAUUACGAAUUAAGACGACAAAGAUUCCUGGGCAAGUAUAUGAGUAGAGAUAAAUUAUGAUCCUAGCUAAGCUAAAAAGAUUAACACCAAGCUUAAAACACAAACUAAAAUUUCAUUUCAACUGUAAAAAUAAAAUCCUGGUUUGUCAACUUGCAGUAUAAGCAAGGAAACAUACUUCCUAUAUAUUUGAAAGCAAGCAAACAUGAAAACAAGGCUCCGCGCGAAUAUUAGAGCUCAAUGUAUACUUAAACUAAACCAGUGCAAAGGCUUGGAGUUUACUGUGGAUUAGGUGGGCGACUAUUGGCAGCAGACACCCUGGAACCCCAUUCAAGCAGCUCUUUACUAGUAUCAUCCUUGUGACAGAUCACCUCUAUGAAGCACAAACAGUCCUUCUUUUCCCCAGUUGCAGUCUCAAUUGCUUCCACCAGAUCUUCCUCGCAGCGAACCUGAAACCACCAUAAUCAGUUGAACUUUCUUACAAACCCAUUACUGCAAUAACCUCAAUAUAAAAAAAAAAAAAAAAACUCCCAAUGGUUACAACUCAUAAUCCUACCUUAGUCGUCCAGCAUUUGCCUUGACCGUUGUGGAUUGCCUCCACAAGCCCAGUGUAGUUCCAGUUCUUAAUCACAUUGUAAGGUCCAUCAUGGAUCUCCACCUCUAUUGUAUAACCACCAUUGUUGAUAAGGAAGAUAAUAGUGUUCUGCCCGCAUGUCAGCAUUGUAGAAAUAUCCUGGGCUGUAACCUGUCAACCAAAAUAUCAGUCAGUUCCCACAGAGAAAUGGAGCCAUUACAUUAGAAUUAUUGAAUAAUCAUGAUUAUUACCUGGAAACUUCCAUCUCCAAUGCAAGCAAUCACCCGUUUAUCUUUUGCUGCCUGCGCAUAACCAAGUGUCGCUCCAACUGACCAGCCAAUUGAUCCAUAUUGCAUCUAAAACUCAGUACAAUCUCACAUUGUUAUUCUUCAGGCAAUGAUCUUACCAAUAUAUGAAACUGAAAUUAUAUAAGUUGUACAAAUCAAGUCAGUCAACAGAAAAUGUUUGCUCACCCGCAGCCUUGAGGCAGUUUCAGUUUUUGGCAGUUAAACCAGGAAUCUCCAGUCUCAGCAAUCACAGCAGUAUCACUUGAGAGCAUAGCUUGAAUAUGCUUAAACAGGAUAUUAACCCUUAAGGGGAAGUCCAUCUGGUACAUAUAUUCGACGAUAAUUCUCAUAGGCGGUUGGAUUGGAUCUAAGCCUCUUUGCAAGUGCACUUCUUUCAUCAAAACGCACCCAAAUGAAGGGCCAUUGGCAAUGACGACUCUGUCAGGAUGAACAAUAAUUGCUUUCUCUUUCUUGAGUAGUAGCGAGUACCCCACUGAGCUGUAAUCAUUAAAAAUAGGCCCUGCAAACAAGUAACCAUUAGCUGAUUCCACAAUUUCAGAACAAAAUGCUGUACUCACAGCACCCUAGUAGGUUCCUAUGAACCUUGGGUGGUUCUCAGGGACAAGCCCUUUGGCCGAUGGCAUCACUGCAACUGGAUAACCACAAGCAUCAGCUAAUUCAACAAAGGCAUUACAAGCCUUGGCCACACGAGGGACAAAUGCCUGAAAAAUAUUUGGGUGUUCCUUGGGCUCAAGGUCAAGUCAGCAGGGUUACACUAGCUCCCAUGGUAGAAAGGAUUAGAGACAAAGCAGCUACUUGGUGUGGAAGAACUCUGUCAUUGGAGAGCAGAUAUCUUCUUAUCAAGCAUAUACUCACAAGUAUCCCAAUACAUAAUAUGGCAGUUCUCAAAUGGCCAAAGAAUGUUACAAAAACAUUAAACAUUUACUAGCUGCAGCUUUUUCCUGGUAUAAAACAGACCUCUGUUGCAUUCUCUCUAUCUUACAUUCUUACCAAAGAUUUCCACUAAAAUCUCGAUAUCUAAAACCUACUACAAGAAGUUUCUUCUGUCAUAAAUCAAGCCACAGUUUAUUUGUAACUGCAGUUUCCAGUCCACCUUGUAACAUCAUCUUUUUCUUUAUUUUGUAAUUUUGUUAUUAUUUUAUAUUUUUGGUAAACAAUUUACGACCCUCACUUUGUAUCAGUGAGCCGGAAAGUUGAAAAAUGUUUGUAUAAAUUUGGUUUUUUUUUUUAUAAAGUUUGUAGUAUUUCUUUCAUUCUAAAACAAGAGAAAAGGAUAGUACAACAAGAUUACUUGUACCUGGGCAUGAAUUUGGUUUAUUUGCAUCAUCGUUUACAGUAGCUUGGUUGGUAGCCAACCAUCCAAUAAUAGUUUGAAAUUCUGAAUGAAUGAAUGUAUUAGCAUAGUUAAACAUUGCUUGUCUGCUUUGUAUAUCUUGUUAGGUUUUUGCAGUCCAACUAAAAGAUAUGUGUAACUAAUAUAAUUCAGGGACAAAAGAGAAGUCAUGAAAUACAGAAAUUAAUAGAAAACUAAUGAUACAACCUCCUUACACAUAACUAAAUUAAUUAAUUACACUAAUCAGAUUAUCUUAAUUUAAUUCAUUACAAAAAUAGAUGAUUGUGAAGAAGCAGCAACAGCAGCAGCAUAGAAAGAAAGAUGUAACUCAUAUAAUUUGAGUAGAAAUUAAAAAACUAAACUUGUUGUUUAAUUAAUCAUAAAACUCAAAUUCAUGAAUCAAAAUCUGUAAAUUGGAACGAAGAAAUUUCAAACAAAAAUUUAGCAAAUUACCAAUUGGAGAUGAAGUAUGAAACUACCAGCUUUCUUCAAUCCUUUUUUCAAUCCUUUUUUCUUAACAAUGGAGUAUGAAGUUACCAUCAAGGCACCAACUGGAGAUGAAGAUGGAUACUGGUUAGAUCGAGUUAGAGAAAGAAGAAGGAGAAGGGAGACGGCUAGGUUUCACAUAUACUAGCAGCUGACCCGUGGUGGUGGUGGUGGUGGGUAGUAGUGGUGGUGGAGACUAAUAAAAAUAGAGAAGGAGAAGAGUUGAGAGAGAGAGAGAGAGAGAGAGAGAGAGAUCUAGUUGCGGUGGUGAGGGUGAGAGAGAGAGAUGGAGUUUUCGGUUGCGGCAGCCAUUAUCGAGAGAGAGAGAUCGAGUUAGGUUGUGUUUUCUGUUUUUGUUAUGUUAUAUAGUCUGGCGAAUAAUGUUGGCGAAUUCGCGGUGAAUAAAAAAACACCUAUUCGGGUGGGCGAAAAAAUGGUGGAUUCGCCGAGUUUUUUAGGUGAAUGGGUGUAUUUUGACAAAAAAAUCCGGUGUAUAAAUAAUUUACUCCAAAUACGCCAAAUUCGCCGAGUCUUUAUCAAACAUCAAAAAUACCGGUGAAACGCGGCGAAUCACCCAUUCACCACGGCGAACCGGUUAUCAAACAGGGCCUAAGAAUAAAAAAUGGGGGGAAUCACCAAAUUUUUGAAAUGGGGUGUCCUAACCAUGGUUUUAAGAAUCGGCCGAGUCAAGUUUGAACCGGCCGGUUGGAAUCGGGAUCGGUGGUAUCCGACUCAAAAAUUCAUUGUUGACUCGGAUCAUCAUAGAAUCGGUUUUAGAACCGUUGAAUCGGUCGAUUCUAUAUGUAAAACUGGAUGAAUCGCCGAGUCAAACCAAAUUUUUUUAUAUAAUUUUGUUUUUUUAAUUUUUUAACUAAAACUUGAAAUCAAUUUCUUUUAUAGUGAUAAGUAAAUUUAUAAAUAAACCAUAAAAUUUGUUCAACCAAGAAAGUUUUCCACUAGAAAGUCUCAAACUUAAUAGUAAAAUAAUAAAUAUUUAUUUAAAAUAAUAAAUAUUAAAUAAAAAAAUUAACAAAGAAUCGGCCGAGUUAAACUUGAAUCAGUGAUUGAAACCGGGAUAGCAUACCCCGAUUCACUCUAAAAAACCGGUUCUUAAAACCAUGGUCCUAACUAUGCAUUUCGAACCGGUUCUUAAAACCAUGGUCCUAACUAUGCAUUUCGAACGGGGUAAUUAGCGCUUUUUUUUUUGUUUUUUGGUAGCAGGCAAAAUAUUGAUAGCUGCCUCAUUGUACAAAUGAGCUUUCACUCCCAUACCAUAUAAUUUGGUCUCACAGUCUGUAACCUUUAAUCAACCUGAGCAAAAGCAAACUCGGAAUCCUAGCUUCAAAUAAACUUGUCUGAUAGCCAGUGGCCACACACAAAUGCCCAAUCGUCUGAGUUGAUUAUUCAUCAAACCAAACUUCUGGAAUAAUUCAACCAUUAUAUGACUAAUAUUGUAGUGGUUUUUAAUGUAAAAGCAAAUCCAGGAGGAGACUGCCUAUAACAUGAAAUCUAGGCUUGGAAGGUCAAACUGGGUCAGUAAUAACAUCAGACAAGAUUAACUUUGGUCUACGUGAAAUAUUAUAGUUUUAGCUAGUAGAACCACAGCACUAAUCCAGGGACAGGCCAAAACAAACAUCACAAAUCAAAGUAGUAACAAAUCCUUGUGAAUUUCAGGAGCAAAGAAAAGGCAUUUAUUUCAAUAUCUAGAGCAUCCGUAGAAGACAUAAAUUAAAAUCCAUUAAGGGACAAUAUGAAGGUACCCCUAUUUCCCUUUUAACUCACAUUUUAAAUACUUGUUCAACUUCCUCAAAUACUCACAAUCUAUACAUAGUUGACUUAGACUAUCAAUCAAACCUAACAUAUGAGUGCAAAAAUAUAAAUAAAAAGACACUAAACUGGAAAAAAAAGCUGCUGAAAAAUCCGCAGUAAUACUGCUACCACUCCUGUUCCAAUUAUUGUGGAGUUAUGCUUUUCAAACAGUCAAUGGUACAAGAAGUUGCAUCCCAAUGAGAUGGCCAAGCAGAGGUGCCCCUUAGUGCUACGUUUCAAUAUCCUGUGUAAAUAAACAAACUAAAAGUUACUACCAAUGAGGAAAAUACAAGUAAUUUAAACUUAAUGGAUACUAUGAUUUAUAGAAAAGAAAAAUAAAAGGACCUCUAAACAUUCUGAGACUGGAUACGUUCACAUCAAUCAGCGGUUACACCUUGGGUUGCACCAAUCAGGCUUCCGUCCAUUCCUCCCGAGGACUCCAUGGCUUGUGAAAUCUCUGCUUUAAGCUUUUCAUGCUUCUCAGUCAAUCCUGAUGAACUCAGAGCCUCUGCAAGGCUCUCUGUGAUUAAAGUUUCAAUCUUACUUUUCAGUUCUGGGUCUGCUGCCUUCCCUGCCUUCACCCACUCCAAUUUGAGCAACCCUAUCUUGUUUUUGAGAUCUGUAGACUCGAUGGCAUCGCCCAUCACUUUCUGAAUUUCUUUGUUCAGUUCCUUAAUCUUGAUCUUCAAUUCAGGUGAUGAAGUCAGUUCACUUAAAUCUUUCAUUCCUGGUGCCACAGGUUCAACUUUCAAAUUUAAUGCCUCCAGCUCUUUAACCCAUUCCUCCUGUAUCUCCUUCCUCACCUUCAGCGCUUUCUCCUUCAAUUCAUUCUCCUUAGUUCCAUCUGCAUACCCGUUACUAGCUACUUCGGCCUUAAAUGCCUCAAUCUUGUCCUUCACAACUGUGGCAAACCUCUUAUUUAAUUCUUUUUUCAAAGUCAAUACUCGCUCACUUUCUUCUGACAAUUUCUUAGCUUUAGAUAAUUCCUUCAGCAUGUCUUGCCUAUACAUUAAGCUUGCAUAGUUAGGAGCCUUCGAUAGGCCCUGCUCGAACUCCUCUGUAAGGUUAACAAUCUUAUCUUGCAAAGCUGGGUCCAGUGGAGCGGAUGAACUUCUCGCCUUUGCAUAUUCCUCUCGCAACACUUUGAUCUUGUCCUUUAAACCCAUGGCUUCAACAGCUAUAGAAUAUUCCAUAUCAAUUUCCCUUUUAAGUUUCCCUAUCAUCUCAUCCACACCCAGCUCAAAAGGCUUUAAUGAUGAUUCUCCCACCUUCAGAAGACCCUGUUUCAGUUUUUCAAUUUCAUCCUCCAAUUCACGGUCCGGUGUUUUGCUGAUAUAUCUCGUUGGUAUAAUGGAUUUUUCUUUCUUUUUCACAAUGGGUUUGUCUUUCUUUUUGAUAAUGGGUUUGUCCGUCUUUUCCAUAAUGGGUUCGUCUGUCUUUUUCAUAAUGGGUUUGUCUGUCUUUAUCAUAAUGGGUUUGUCCAUCUUUUUCAUGUUCACCUUCUUUUUCGGAUCUUUUGGUAUUCCUUCUGCGAAACCACCUAACUGACGGAACUUGUAAUUUCGAUGGUCCAGCAGCUUUUGUGUGUCCAUCUCAAGUAGUUCCUGUACAUAUACAAAAUAUUAUUUUGCUCAGAUCUAAGUCACGAAGCAUAAAUUGUUACAUAAUUAAGGCUGAUACUCACGUCCAUUGCUUCAGUGAUUGCGAUUUUUAUCUGCUGUGAAGUCCAAGCCGAAUCAGCAUGUGCACCACCAAGAGGUUCCUGUCAAAAGGGCAGAGACUAUUCAUUAAAAUGAAUCUGACAUCUCUUAUUGCAAGAAAAAAAAACCCAUCCUAACGAGUGUAAAAUACUCAUGCCUAUAGACAUACUCUUCCUGUAUUCAACCCCUUCAGACUGAUAAGAACUUCGUGUAAGGUGAAUUACAUAAAGGUUUACGGUUUCAUAGCAUAUAAAAUAAUGAAUAAAUUGACACAGAAGAAUUUAGAAUGGAAAGGGAUCAUACAGGGAUGAUUCCAUCACAAAUUUUGAGCUUAGACAACUCUGCAGCAGUUAUCUUCAACUUCUCCGCUGCCUGCAAACACAAGUAAUCUUCCGAUGUCAGAAAUAUUAACUGAAGUAUAUUAUGCAUUAUUGCAGUCACUCAAAGGUCACAACACUGUACCUUUGGAGAAGCUUUGGCAGUCUUCCACAAGAUCGCUGCACAUGCUUCUGGGCUGUUACGUGAAAAGAAGAAAACAGAUUGACACAUGCAGAUGGGACCAUAAGAUAUGUGAUGUGAAAAGUACUAAAGCUGGGAUACUACUUAUUUAUCAAUAAAGUAAACCAGCAGGCGAUAAUGAAGAGGCUCAUAGCAACAGAGAUAGGUCAACCAUUUUGAAGAGCCAUACAAAGUCUUUAUAUUCUACCAUAAUGCAAGAAGAUAGUCAUAUAAGAUAAGAAGGCUUACGAAAAAUAAUUAGUAUACCACCACUCACUGAAAAAAAAAUUAUUAUUUAUUUCAAGAAAAGGUUUCAUGUAUUUGUGUAUCCAUGCAAUCACAAUGUGCACCUCUUACUAGCAUUCCUUUGUGUAUGUUAUCUUUAAAAUAGAUCCACUGGUGACAAUAGAAAAUCUGUGUGACGUAUCCGCCCUCAAUGAACUUUGCCCUUAACAUAAAGGAAUGAAGUGAUAAAUCAAAGUAUCAACUCGAAUUCUUAAUCAUGAUAUAUGUUCCAUAUGCGUUUAUCAUACCAUCACAAAUUCAAACUGAACUACUGAACUACAGCGUAUGUGUCUCUAAUUUGUUUGAUCAUUCAAUUUGCAUAUACAACAUUUGUGUGCCACUUCAAAGUCCAAACAUACGCAAGAAAACCUGGCUAGUAAAUGCCAGUCUAAAAGAACAGCCAGAAAAUAGAAUACAAUUAUGAAACUAGAAUUCUAAAGUUACCUUGCAACAUAGAAAACUGCAUUCUCAAGCAUUAACAAUUUAUUAGCACAUCCAAUGGCCAGAGCACCUCCAGAGCCACCCUCCCCAAUAACAAUAGAAACAAUUGGAACCUUUAGGCCAAACAUAGUCCUCAAAUUGUGAGCUAUGGCUUCACCCUGCAUACAGAUGGUGAGCAUUCAGCGGAGCCACUUAUUGUAAAUAGGAUACAUUUUACAAGAAAGUUCUAAUACAUACUUGGCCUAAUUCCUCUGAUUUGAGAUCUGCAAAAGCCCCUGGCGUGUCAAUGAAAGUGACAAUCGGAAAACCAUGAUGAUCCGCGUAAUACAUAAAACGCAUAGCCUUCCGGUAACUGUAUAAACAUCAGUUUCUCUCUUAGUGUGAUCAUCAUCUUAAAAGAACCUGAGCAUUGAGUUCUAACCAAAAUAUACAGAUGGGUUUUAACCCACGAUUUGAGAACCAAAAUAUACAGAUGGGUUUCAACCCAUGAUUGAGAAGAUCUAUACAAUGGAAAGAAUAAAAGAUAAUUACAUAUCCUUUCCUCUGUCCAGAAACAACAAGAGAUGAUAAUAUUAUUAUAAACUACAAAAUAUUCUUCUUAUGCUUAUUUAAAGCAUGCUAGCCACUGAAAAGAACAUACAUACCCGUGUGGAGUAGGCAUUCCAAAGUUGCGUUUAAUAUUCUCCUUUGUGUUUCUACCUUUCUGAUGGCCCAUAAACAUAUACCUUCUACCAUCAAUGCUUCCAAUACCACAAACAAUGGCAGGAUCAUCAUAUCCUGCUCGAUCUCCAUGGAGCUCUACGAACUAGAUGUAAAUUAAAUAAGAAGUCAUAACAUAACUACUGAGAAAAAAGAAAUGAAAAGGAAGAAACAAGAACAGUAACUUGUAUUACCAGACCUUGUCAGUGAUGUUAAAUAUAUGGUCAAGAAACGUUGGCCUGUUUGGAUGACGUGCAAUGCUUACACGUUGUAUGGGCGUUAAAUGUGUAUAGAGAUCUUUUAAGGCCUGAAAUUAACAUAACAAAAAGUACUUUGAAUGCGUUUGCAGUUUAAAUAAAAUAGUAAUAAUACAUGAAUGUCAUUCAUAGAUAUCAUAUGGUCAAAAUUGCAAUAAAAACCAUUUCUAAGCAUUAAAGUUAACGUCUAGCAAGGAAGAAUUGAUAGAGGUAGUACCAUAGAACAGAAUUAAAUUUAAAAUGUCUACCAACAUGCUCAUUAACAAGUAAAAGGUGUGUGAGAAUUCCAGAAGGGACAUAGUAUAAGUUUUGGGCUUUCCAUUUUAACCUUUACUGACUUCUAGGUGACAUUUCUCUAAUGCAUAAACAGUGUAGUAACAUAUUUCAAUAUUUGAACGCUGAUAGAUUAUUAAACGAAACAAAUUAAGCAUAGCAUAAGAAUUGGCUUAUCCUUCUCUCAAUUAUCUACACAAGCUUUGAUACACUGAUAUGAUUCAAUUCUUUUACUACCUGGUUUCCUCACAUGCUUAAAAUUGAAGUUUUUUAAAAUUAAACAUGGAAGUCAAAAUAGCCAAAGAUUCCAAUAGCACAAAGAAAUCUUUUAGGAAUAUAUAAAUUAAAACUCCAAUUUCAAGAAGACCCAAUAAACUAUCAAACCUGUUGAUACUUGUUUUCCAAAGAGAUGAUCUGAUCACUAAAAUCCAAUCCAGUUUCAUUUGCCAUCUUUCUAACCUGCAUGCAAGAAAACCCGAUAAAUGAAUGAAACUAAAUAACUGAUACAUACUAAAAAUUAAAUAGGUCCUGCAAGCUUUCCACAGCAUAACAAGAUGAAGCAAAAACUUACAUCAUUGAUCUUCUUCUCCAGAUCCAAAAGCGGCUUUUCAAAAUCCAAAGUAACUGGCUUUGGUUUCUCCUUCAAAGGCUUGAAAGGAGAAAGAUGAGUAAGAAUUCCUCCUUUGACAUUUGCAUCUGGAUUUUUAGGCCAUGGAUAUUCAUGCUUCCUCCCUCUCUUUUUUAACUUAGCAAUAACACUAAUAUCCCUUUUCACAGCUCCCAAACGCGCCUUUCCUAAAGACUUUAAUGGAAUACCAACGAUACCAUUACUGGAACUUCGAAGAAGAUCCGAAACUGAUGAAUUCGAAAAUGUUAGUGGAGAAUGAGGUAGUGAAGUCAUUCUGUAGCUCUCAGCAACAAAAUUGCUUCAAUUCUCAACUCAAUUAAUCUCAAAUUCGCUUCUUUUCACCAAUCAAACCUGUAAAAAACAUUCCAAAUCAAUCAAAUUAUUAGUUCAAAAUCAAUAAACUCAAUUCGAUUUUGAUUCAAAACAAGAAACUAUUGAAAUCGAAUCAGAAAACUCACGAAUUGAUAAUAAAUUAGGAAAAAUUGAUUGAGAUCUGAUCUGGCAAUGGUGAAGAAAUCGAGAGAGAGAGAGAGAAGAGAAGAAGAGGAGAUGAAAACCCUAGAAAGUAGAAGAGAAGAGAAGAGAAGAUUGUUUAUUUAGAUAGAAACAUCGAGUUGAUCGACGAAGAUGAAAGAAAAUAAAUUUUUAAUUAGGGGUUUAUGUGGAGUGUAGAGAAGUGUUCGAAAGAAAUCAAAAACAAUUUCGAUAUUUCUUAUGCAUGCAAUUCUACCUCUCUCUCUCUCUCUCUCUCUACUCUGUUUUAUUAAAUGUGGAAGAGUUUUUCGGUUUGGCCGUUGGGAGAUUUGGAGUUGUUUGUGUAAUUGUCAUCUAUUCAUUCACACAUGUGCCAGUUCACUCACACGUGUGUGUUCGAUGUGUUCGAUGGAAUCUCUCUUCAAAGGCUUCACCACUUUCUGCAACACAGUUCAGUUCCCCUAGUGAAUAGUGAUUGACUGAUUUCCAUUGUUUCCACCAGUAACAAGAUUCUUAUUGUGUUAGGCCAGGUAUGGAUCCAAGCAUCCGAGUGUUUGAGACUUGAGAGUGAGGCGGGAAGUAUACUGUAUAUAAACCUACAAUUGACUCCUUCCAAAACUAUAGCUUAAUACUAGUGAAAUAAUAGUUAUUUUCUUGACCAACAGGUGUCUGUGCAUAUGGCAAACUCACAAGUUUGUUUAAUACUACUAAUAUGGAAAAAUCGCAAGGAUAAAGUUUACUCUUAAAUGACCCCAUACAAGUUAUGGAAUCAUUGAAAGCCUUAACAAAAUAAAUCUCCUCUUGAUUAAAAUGUUACACAAGUUUAGGGGAACAUCAGACAUUAGUUUAGGUAAUAAGGGCAUCUCUAAUGGUUCAUCAAAUCUUUCAUCAAAUUCAAAUUUGAUGAAAAAGUCAAAAAAACUCCAUCUAAUGGACCAUCAAAACUUUUUCAAAUUUGAUAUUUUAGCAAAAAUCAUCAAAAGUUCAUCAAAUUUGAUGAAAUUUUGAUGAAAAACUUAAGGUUUGAUACUGGGUGAGGCGGGCAAGAGAAGACCGCUUCACUUAAAUCACUUAAAGCGGCUAAUGAAGUGCCGCUUAAAGUGGCACUUCAAAGCCCGCUUUAACUAAGUGGCACUUGGACAGCCCCAUUAACUAAGUGAAGCGGGUGUUGGAGGCCCGCUUUAGUGAAGCGGUCAUCCAUUAGCCGCUUUAACUAAGUGAAGCGGGUGUUGGAGGCCCGCUUUAGUGAAGCGGUCAUCUAUUAGCCGCUUUGUUGAUGAACCAUUAGAUGGAGCAGAUUUUCAAAGCAAAUUUUUCAUCAAAGUAGCAUCAAAUGUGUAUACGUGGACCAUCAAAUUUGAUGAACCAUUAGAGAUGCCCUAACCCCAUUAAAUAUUUUAUGUUUGUUUACACAAAAUUAUUUGAUUUUAAUGAAACAAAUUAACAUUUUUAAGGAAGUUCAUUCAUAUUAUCAUAAUACUAAUAUAUAGUGUAUGAUUGACUAAUUAGCCAUUACACACACAAAAUAAUGGUAUCCUUCAUUCCUUUGAUCAUAUUUCUAUUUCUAAAUGAUAUCCAACAGGUAUGAGCCAGAUUACACGACAAAGCCUACCGUGCAUUCUUGUUUCUUAUAAAGAUUAGGUGAGGCCGUGAGGGAAUCAGAUCAAGUGCUCAACAAACAUGGGAGCAGGUUGACUAGGUCGGGCAGAUUAAAAUUAACUUUAAAUAUGAAAACCUUGGUUGGUUAAUUGAACCAAAGUUUAUGGGUCGGAGACUGGAGAGCACUGAGCACAUUGGGACCGGAACACAUUACACAUGCAAUUGGUGACUUGGUGUACACUGUCACUGUAGUAAACUACUCCAUAUAAAAACAAUUAAAUCCCAAAUUUAAAUCUGAACAUCAGAUUUACUGUAAAUGGUCUGUGGUCAAAGUAUAAUUAGAUUAAUUUUUCCAUCAAGUUAGUGGAAAAAAUAAAUGAGUUAGGUUAAGGUUGAUGAAACUACCUGAUUGAACAGUGCCCACCUAAGAAUAUUGACUUGGUUAUGUUGGUUUACGAGGGGUGGCCCAAUGUGCAUCACUGUCAGUACAGUAGUACACCCAGACAGUCUUUGAUCGAAGAAACUGUUUACACACCCCAAAUAAAUUUUCAUGCAUGCAAAAGGGAGUAAAUUAGUGGUGUACCUCUAUAACCAUGAAUUAGGAUAAAUAAUUUAUUUAUUUUAAAUCUAAUUCCCUUCCAAUAUACGUUACUAGUAUCUCUCAUGUAGUCAUGUUGUGGCAUUCCACGGUGUUCUUAAAGCAGAUAACAGUAAAGACUAAAGAAGAUGUUGAAAGCCCUUAUCCAUUUCUGCUAUCUCCUAAGUCCCAUCUCCAUUGAGUCGAAAAAGUGGACCUAACAAAAAGCUAGGUCAUGAAUGUAACAUCCGAAUCCAAUAAACAUAUAUAUAUUUUUUUUAAUUAAAUCAAAUUAUAUUGAUAAGCUCAACGAAUUACACAAAAGUAGAUGACAAACGCGCUACAAACUGCGCGACAAGUCCUUUCUGGAUAGCAAACCUGACUCUUCUAAAUACAUAUUUUUUUUUUUUUUUUUUUUUUAUGAUGGAGACAUAGAGGUCUAUUGUUGUCUUAUUAUUUUGUGCUUUGAUUAUUAACGUUUUAUCUGUUUUGAGAACAAAUUUAAGGGCAACACCUGACAAAGAUUAAAACCGAUAAUAUACAGGAUUGUGAUUUUUCAGAGGUAGAUCAAACGGUGGUGUAAUCCAUCUCAACUUUCUCUCCAUGGAACUAGAGUACUAGAUAUGUUUACAAACUUAAUUUAUCCUAAAACAUCUAUAGUAUACAGAUUAAUUUUCUGUUCGAUAUACGUAUACAGGAACUGAGCAUCCACUGCAAGUCAUUAUCAAGAGGGAAAGAAACAGAAUAAAAAACAUUCUCAAGUUGUGUAUGGAAUAGGUCCACUGAAAGGUAAAUUUGGGCUUUUAUAUUCCCAGUAAAUCUGAACUGUAUAAGUUUUCUGAAGCCUUAUUUGCAGGCCCACUUUCGGUCCCCACUGUGAAUCUGCGAUUUCAUUUAACUUGGUCGUGGUUAUUUUCGACUCUGUUUUCCCUCUAAUCGAGAAAAAAAAAAAAACCCCGAGAGAAAUGGCGAACAAGGUCUCUAAUUUCACCGAUUUGAUUCAACGAGUCACCGCUUCUUGCUUACUUAACCCACUAGUCCGAAUUGACGAACUUGAUAAUCAGUCAGUUGAAUACUUAAAAAGCGAAAAAGAUUAUGAAAGCCAAGUAUUAGAAGAAGAAGAAGAAGAAUCAGAGUUGGAAGAAGAAGAAGAAGAAAAAGGGUUUGAAAUUUUAAAAAGAAAGAAAGAUUUGAAGAAAAUGAUGGAAUCUGAAGCUUUAAUGUCAGAAAUGUUUGAUGCAGUUUCGGAUUUGAAGAAGGCGUAUGUUAGCUUACAAGAGGCACAUUCUCCAUGGGAUCCAGUGAAGAUGAGUGUAGCUGACGUGGCAGUAGUGAAAGAGUUGAAGAGGAUUGGGAGAUUAAAAGAGAGGUUUAGAAGAAUGAGUAGAUCAGGAGGAGAGAGAAUGGGAUUUGCAGGGUUGAGAGAAGCGGUGGCGCCGUACGAAGAGACGGUGGAGGAGCUUAAGAGAGAGGUUAAAGCAAAGGAGGCGGAAGUGGAGAACCUUAAGGAGAAGCUCCGAAGUAUGAGUGUGAGUGGGAAGAAGGGGAAGCUUCAGCCAAAGAGGAAAGUCAACGGAAGUCAAGGUCAUGGUAAGGCACUUUCUUAAUUCUUUCUCUUGUGAAACUUGAAAUGGUAUGAAUAGACAUGUUGUGAAUAACCAAGGAGAAUUUUUACUAUGGAAGUGAAAUACAAAUUUUGGCUGUUAGAGUAUUAGGGUACUAAUUGAAUUUUAAAUCUGUAAUCUGUCCUUUUGUGAGUUGUUGCCUGCUUAGCUUUGGUUGAACUAAUAAAUAUCAAAAUAAGAAUUAGGAAAUUAUGCCCUUCAACCAUUGAAGUUGGAGUAUAUAAAUUCUAUGGUAGGUGCAAAAAGACUGUAACAUGGAAGAUGAUUGAUUGAGUUGCCUUUAGUUGGUAACAUUAUUGUAUGUUGUUAUGUGUAAAUUUCCUUUGAAAUAAAUCAUUGAAGAAGAUUUAUGGUGCAUUUAUUCAACUACUUCAGAGGAUUGUCAUUUAUAUAUCUAUACAGACAACUUCUAACUACGUUCAAUCUGUACAACAAUUUGCCACGAACUUCCAAGUUCCAAGUUUUUUGGAACCAAACUUGGAACUUGGCUCCAAAUAUUUUUAUUUUACUUGUAAGGCUAGGAAAAUACACCUCAUUUUUGUUGGUGAUCAGAUUUUUUAUUUUACACACCUCAUGGUCUACACAGGGCACCUUAUGUGUUAUAGUCUUGAAAUAUUUUGGAAAAACCUACAGAAUAUUUUUAUCCAGCCCACUAAAGGUGACUUAUAUUUUGUUGGAAAUACAGUUCCAGUGGCUGCGGUACCAGAGUUGUUUGAAGCAACAAUGAGCCAAGUAAAAGAAACUUCAAAGUCCUUCACAUCAUUACUCCUUUCACGAAUGCGUUCGGCUCACUGGGAUAUCGCUGCAGCUGUUCGAUCCAUUGAAUCUGCAACAAACACCCCCAAUGAUCAUGAAAACACUACCUCAGCCAUUGGAUCUCAUCACGCCAAGUACGCUCUUGAAUCCUACAUUUCCCGCAAAUUCUUCCAUUCAUUUGAUCACGAGACCUUUUACAUGGAUGGAAGUCUUUCAUCGCUUCUUAACCCAGACCAGUUCCGUCGAGACUGUUUCACGCAAUUCCGAGAUAUGAACUCAAUGGACCCAACUGAGUUACUCGGUAUCAUGCCCACUUGUCAAUUCGGCCAAUUUUGUUCUAAAAGGUAUCUGUCCAUUAUGCACCCAAAAAUGGAAGAAUCUUUAUUUGGUGAUCUGGAGCAGAAUCGACUAGUUUCAGCUGGAAAUCAUCCCAGGAGCGAGUUUUAUGGACACUUUUUGAAGGUGGCAAAAGCUAUAUGGUUACUUCACUUGCUUGCUUUCUCACUUGAUCCAUCCCCGUCUAUGUUUAUGGCAACGAAAGGAGCCGAAUUUCAAACAGAGUACAUGGAGAGUGUUGUCAGACUUUCUGGGAGAGGAUUGCCAGUGGGUCAAAUAGUUGGGAUUCCUGUAAGUCCUGGUUUCAAGCUUGGAAAUGGAUCAUUUAUUAAGGCCAGAGUUUAUUUGGUCCCCAGAAAAUGAACCUUUUGUUGGUUUCAUUGUAUUAUGUGUACUUUUUGUACCAGAUGCUUAGUGUGAAUCUAAUCUAUGCAUUGUGCAUUUUUUGUCUUUGGUGGUACAUGAAAAUUUAGAUUCAAAUCCACCUGUGUGUGUGCUGUGUGUAGAUUUUUUUUUUUUUUUGUUGGCAGGGGAGGUUGUGGGGACCUACCCCUUUUAAAUUACGUGUGGAAACUUAUAUCAACAAUCCGCUGUUGACGUGUUUCGAAUCCAAGAUCUUUCCACUUUAUGAGAGGGGUGCUACCAUUGAGCCACAGGCUCAUUUACAAAAAAUUACAAUGUUGUCGAUACACUGAUGAAUGAUUGACUAAAAUGUGCGCAUGCCUUGAUCUGGCUUGUGUAUUGUGUGAUCUUAAGAUUGAGUUUCGAUAAUGCCUUUUUUUUUAAUUGAAAUACAGUGGUUGAACUCUAAAAUGCGUGUUUCAGUGGGGUGCAAAUAUGCAGUGCAACUCAUCUGUGAGUUCUGACAUUGGAGCCAGAAUCAAUUUUUGUGGGCAUUAGCUUUAAUUGGGCCGGUCCAUUAAGAAAAGACUGGCCCAUUAAAUGUAGCCAACAUUUUCCGAACCAAAUUGCUGCAGAAACAGUGAAACACUCUCGUCUUGCCGUUUCAAUCAUACUUUCUUCUCUCUCUAUCUGGUAGUCGUUUGCAUUGUUAUGGCUUGCAGGACUUCUAACGGUACUCUCUCUCUCUCUCUCUCUCUCUCUCUCUCUCUCUCUCUCUCUCUCUCUCUCUCUCUCUCUCUCUCUCUCUCUCUCUCUCUUAAUUUAAAUUUAAAAUUAUCUUUUUCUUCUUACAGAUACUCUACUGCUAAAGCUAAAAGAGGGAAGUGCAGAAUUCGAACUCGUUUCUUCGCCAGUAUCUCCAAUUGCCACUUCAAAGUCUCAUUGGUUUUCUUUUCCCUUUCAAGCUGAUAAAAGUCAUCGAUUUUUUGCUAGAAUUGGUCCUUCUCUGUAAGUUUUUUUUGUUUUAAUUGAAUCUAAACCUUAAUUAAACCCUAUGGGGGAGAAACCCAUUAAGUAAACUCUUGUUGCUUGAAGGGAUGGUGGGGCUUCACCAGCAUUGAAGAAAGUUGAACAAUACUCAGUUCAGAAAGUUACUGGAGAUGGUCGUUGCAUGUUUCGUGCACUGGUAAUACUUUUCACAAAUUGCAAAGCUUUUUAGCGUAUUGGCAUUUCAUCAAACAGUUCCAAUUUCAGUAGAGUUUUCUUGUCUUUAGAAUUUAAAUUGAUCUUUGAAAUGGUAUGUUAGGUAAAAGGAAUGGCUAUGAACAAGGGUAUCUCUCUCAGCUCCCGCGAAGAAAGAGAUGAUGCGGGUAACUUCACAUUAUUAGCUAGCUCAUUUGGUUGUUUGAUUUAACAAUGAAGGAUUAUAUGUAGAAAACAUUAUGCUUUAGUUGACGAGACCGCCAAUGGCAGAGCCAGACAUUGAGGUCCGAAAUACUUUAUGUGUAUCCAAUAAAAAUUUAGAUUCUUUUUAUAGUGUAUAGACCCAUUGGUAUAAAGGCUGAAGCUGACUUAAAAUCAUUAAACCAUAGUUUACCAGUAUAAGUUGAAAUUCUGUUCAUUAAGAUUCGAUGUCAUUCCAGAUUAAUUUUAUACAAUUUUGUGUCUUAUUUCCAAUGGAUUUGUUACAAUCACAAUUUGGAGAAAUUGUCCGAAGUUGAUAUAUUCGAUUCUGUUUUCAUGUUUUUGGCAAAAGAUAAGGCUAGCCUCGGGGCUUUUGUCUUCCCUGAUUACUAUGUCAUAUUUGAUCAAUUUGUGCCUGCCCUCCAUAAAAGUGAGCCGGCAUACGAGACUGUAAUAUGUCGUUACUGAUCAAUUUGUGCCUGCCCUCCAUAAAAAUGAACCAGCAUACGAGACUGUAAUAUGACUCUAAUUAUGCAUUUAUGCUUUAUAUUCAGUUCAGUUAAUAUAUAACUAUGUAAUCCAUCCGCAGUCCAUCUGUCUUAUUGUUUAAUAUCUUGUAUUUGAUAUAUGUGAUGUGUUUUGAUAUCAAUGUGCCAAUUGUGCAUCUGAAGCUCUGGAAGACUGGCGUUAUAACUUAUAAGUUAUAAGCUAUAACUACAUAUAAAGAAACUUGUUGUAGUUAGUGUUCAGACUUCAGACUAUAUAAAGAAACUUAUCCUUGAUUUUAACUAACACAGAUGAACUGCGGAUGGCUGUAAAAGAAAUUAUAUGUGAAGGUGAUAAAGAACGGAGCAAGUAUGAAGAAGCUUUGGUGGCAAUUACUGUUGAUGAAUCCUUGCAACGGUAUUUCUACAAAUCAAAUUUCCUGUUGUAGCUGCAUUUUAUUAUAUGCCAUCAAUUGAAGAUGUCACUUGAACUGACAUGAAUACAUGCCAUUUCUAGAUACUGCCAACGUAUUGACAGAUCUGAUUUCUGGGGAGGAGAAUCGGAGUUAUUGGUCAGUUUUCCAUAGAUUUGUGAUUGAGUUCUUUCCAAUUCUCUUAUCUACAGCGUCUCUAUUAAUUUCUACUUUGUACAGCUUCUGGACUUGAGGCAUGUUUUUGUUGUAAAUUACAGGGCAAUAAAUGCUGCCACAUUACUAAAAAUUUGCAGUAGUGUCGGCAUCUGUUGAAUUGAGUACAUUGAUUAACUGUUUUUAACUUCAUAUUAAUGACCAAUUCUUCUUCCUCAGGUGUUGUCAAAGUUGUGUCGUCAGCCAGUUAUUGUGUACAUACCAGAGCGAGAGGUACUACUUUUCAGUUUUCACAAACAUUUAAAUACUUCCAUGAAAACAUGAGAAGGGUGUUUUGAGAUUACCAAACUAUUUCCUCAUACAUCUAAAUAAUUGCAUAAGUUUUGCACACACUUCAGUACUUCACUGUUUCCCUUCUACUUUUCCUCAUAUUUGUAGCAUCUAUUGUUAAAAAGUAUUGUUCUUUGGAGAGAGGCUAGGCAUCUCGUUAAGCUGUGUUGCUGGUGUUGUCAAUGUUUGAGGCUAAAAUCAAAGAUGUCUUGAAAGAGAUGUAUGAAUGACUGGAUAGUAUCAUGGUAUUGCCUAAACUUGUCUCUUAUUAGUGAAGAAAAGAGAACAAACAAUAAGCUAGAGUCCAUCUUUGAUUUCAGCCUAACAGCCUCAGGAUGCAUGUAUUAUUGCAGAAGGAUGACCUCAGAGAUAACUGUCUGUUUAUAUGUACUAUGAUAAUGUCUACUCAGAAAUAUAAGAUGUUUUCUUGAAAGAUCUACAUCUACUGAUGAUCCCACCAUUCCAAUUGCAGCACAAGGGGGGAAGGGGCACAGGCUUUAUUCCCAUCGCAGAAUAUGGGACCGAAUUCAGUAAAGCAGCCAAAAAGAGUAAACCACCAAGGAAGGCAGUGAGGCUUUUGUAUAGUGGCAAGAACCACUACGAUAUACUUGUUUGACGCUAACACAAGUCAUUGUAACAAAUAUUGAUUUUGACAUGUAAUAGUUGAUACAAUCCAUACCAUCUUAUGACUCUUCAGUAUAUGCCCAAAUGUUGUCUCUUUUUUGCUAGAACUUUAUUUAUGCUGAAGCAGCAUGUUUAUAUCAUCUCCCAGAAGCCCAGAAUAAUUACUUGUUGCAUGUCUGUCACAAUAUACACUUGUCUGUGCACAAAUUACUGCAGAUUUUGUUGUUUGUCCACAAUACAUGCAUCUGAACUUCUUCACUCUUGAAGUGUCCCAUAGACAAUCAAUUCCAGAUUGGCUUCAGAUUAACAUGCAAUUUCUUCUUUAAGAGAUAAAUGUUGUAAAUGCGAAUUGCCAAUUUGCCAUUGGAAUGGCAAAAUGGACCAAAUGACAGGAUUUGCCUGAGCUCAAAAGUGUCAAACUACUCAAAUGAACUACAUACAGUACCCAUAAAAGACCCGACAAUGGUUUUACACGUGGCAUAAUGGUCUCACACGUGCUAUCCAGUCAUACCCACGUGGGAUAAGAAAACAAAAGAAGUGUUUUACCACGUCAUCGAAUAUUGACACAAAAAACUAUAAAGGUAAGUGUCAAUGACGUGUCAGUUUCUGAGUACUUCCCAUAGUGCUCGGAAGUUGUAUCAUCGUAAAAAGGAAAAAACCUUCUUCUCACCGUAUUCUGAAAGAACAGAAAUUUGGGUGAAAUAUAAAACCGAUAAAUAAGAGAAUUUUAUUUUCUAGGGUUUCGAAUUUCGAUAGUUUUUUCUUCUGGUUUUUAUUUGAAAUAGAGAAAGAAAGAGAGAAAUUGAAUUUUGCAAUCGGCGUAGAUAGAGAUGGAAGGUCCAAGUAAUGGUGGAAUGUUAUAUCACGAGGUACAAGAGUCAAAACUAUGUGCGGUACAUUGUGUGAACACAGUAUUACAAGGUCCUUUCUUUUCUGAAUUUGAUUUAGCGGCUUUAGCUUCUGAUCUUGAUCGAAAAGAACGUCAAAUGAUGCUUGAAAGUGGUGGUGGUGAUGUUGUUGAUUCUGGUGAUUUCCAUCUUAUGGAUACUGAUGAAUCUCAUAAUGUUUCUAUGGGUGGAGAUUUUAGUAUCCAGGUUUGUUUUCUUUACAACAACUUUUCUUUGGAUCGCAGUGUAAUUUUACUUCUAAAAGAUGUGAAUUUGUUGUUUUUGCUUUUCGUUUUAUCAAAUUGGGAUUAGUGAUUGAAUAAUUAGAACUUGGACCUUGUGAAAGUGAGGUGUUUGUGAGAGAAAAUUUGUUAAAUUUCAGGCUUAAGGAUAUAAGUUUUAAGUAAAGUUUGUGUCUUUCUGAACUUUGGAUUGAGUAAGUUCACUAUUCUUAAGCUUGUGCAAUACACAUAAUAAAUUAAUAACCCUGCUCAGAAAAUUUUAAUAUGUAGUGUGAAUUAGGCAGCUACUUUUACACAAAAAUUACUAUAUCAUUGAAUGUCCUGUGACUUGUAAGAAAGAAUGUGAAUUAGGUUGUUACAUAGGCAGGUAUAGUGGCUUGAAUGGAUGCCUUUCACCGUGAAUAGGGGGUGGACUGGUGGAGUCCUUACUUAGAUAUUCAAUUUGAAGAAAAAAAAGGAAUUCUCUUUGACAUGCUUCUGUAUAAUUCCGACAAGUAGAACAUGAUUUCUAUUGCAGUUAUGCACCAUCUUGAAAAGCUAUAUGUUUUAAUUUAGAUGUUCUCAGCUAUAUUUAAGUCCUCAAACCAGAAAGUGAGAAAACUAUUGCAGUUAGUGACUCUAUUACCUAAUUCUCAGCAGCAAUCAAAUUACCCUGAAAGAAAAAUUAAUUAUACGAUUUGUUGUUUAAGCCAGUUAAGAGACUCAGAAAUUAUUCUUUAUAAAUAUCAAAAUCAAUGCAAUUAUGGUAAGAUUAUGUUGUUGUAUAUGUUGUUCCUAUGACAUACACAUCACUGCUAAAAUAAUGAGACAUACUUCUGGGGCCUUGAGCUGUAGAUUGUGCCAUUGUGGAACCAAUCCUGUUUAUAAUAACAUAAGAAAAUGUUUCCAAUAGAUUGUGCCAUUGUUCAUUCUUUAAGUUAAUGAAAAGAUGGUUUUAGUAUGAAGUUCUUGCCGAAUUCCUUUUGGAUAUAGCCAUCCAAUUGUGUCAUCUGAUCCUUAUCUGUUGUAUAUAUGAUUUGUUUGGCUAAUACUUGGACAGCUCUCCAUUAUCUGGCACUAUAGUAUCCAUUAUCUGUCUCUUAAGUUGGAUUUUUAUCGUUUUUAUGUACAAAUUGAUUAAGGUGUGAAUCCUAUAGGUUAGAAGAUUGAUGAAAGUUUGACUAUAUUUUGUUUUCAAGAGACUACAUAUUAAAUGUCAUUUGCAUAAGUGUUGGUCGAAUCAUGCAACUUGUUGUAGCAGCACAGUAGGCUAACGGAUCAUAUUAGAAAAUGGAAAGAUUUGUACCUGUGGAAGCCUUAAGUUUCUGUGAUCUCAUCAGUCUAGUAGUAGGAGUGUUAAAAGUACGGAUAAAGAUGUGAAAUUCAUAACUUUUGUUUGUUUUGAACUCUCCUCCGAAGAGCCGGCCAAUUUUUAAGGAGCCAUCUCAUGAGGACGAUAAAUAUGGAUGACAAAUAUGAGCAUCAUAAGAUAUGUGUCUUGAAGCUUCUUUGUACUAGUUGGGUGAUUUUAUGUUAGCUGGAAUAUGAUGAUUUUAUCUUCUUGAAUGGUGCACACCCAUUUAUGACAUGCUUUGGAUGGGUAGAUGAGAUUUCCAUAUUUUGCAGAAUAUCUCAUGGAUGUUCAGUUUGUGUUUGUUAAUAAUAGAAGUAUAAAAUAGUUGUUAACAUCUUUAAAGAGGAGUAAUAAUUGUGAUUUAUGUUUUUUGGUAAUAUAAGUGUUUUAUUAGAUAAGUGAACAUCAGUGUUAGUACGUUAUAUGUCAAAAAGCUGUUUUUUCAGACACGUGGUGUAUAGUAAACUAUGCCUGUGUCUGGGUUUGUUAUAAGUGUAUUUAACUAAUUGACUUGGUUUUCUAGGUAAAAAGGAAGGGAGAAAUGCUAAGAUUAUUGUUGAAAGAGCCAAUAUCUUUUUCAUUAUUUGGGCUAUCUCUAACUUUAUAGAAUGUGUCUUUGCAUGUGCAGGUCUUAGAGAAGGCUUUGGAGGUAUGGGAUUUGCAAGUUAUUCCCGUUAACAGUCCGGUUGCAGAACCUGCGCAGAUCGACCCUGAGCUAGAAAAUGCAUUCAUCUGUCAUCUGCAGGAUCACUGGUUCUCCAUCAGAAAAGUAAAUGGGGAGUGGUAUAAUUUUGACAGUCUCUAUGCUGCUCCUGAGCAUCUCUCUAAGUUCUAUCUCUCAGCAUACCUCGACAGUCUUAAAGGCUUUGGUUGGAGCAUUUUUCUCGUCAGAGGGAACUUUCCCAAAGAGUGCCCAAUGUCAUCUGCAGAAUCUUCGAAUGGUUAUGGGCAGUGGCUCUUACCUGAAGAUGCGCAGAGAAUUACCAAAUCUUGCAACUCCACUCAAUCCAAUCCUCCACGACGUAAUAUCUCUCAGUCAAACUCCAAUCCGUACCAACCUUUUACAGAAGAGAGUUUUUCAGACUUGGAAGAAGAUGAUUUGAAGGCUGCAAUCGCUGCCAGUUUAAUGGAUUCUGUUCCUGCUAGUAGUAGAUCUGGCAUUACAUCUGCUCCUGUUGCUGCUGAAACUGAAAUAAUUUCUUGCCCUGCUCCCGCUGAAACUGGCAUUUCUGAAGAUAAAAAAGAUGCAUAAAACUGCCAUACAGAAGAGGAGGAAGAUCAUGCUUAUGGUGGUCUGGGUUGUGCUCUGUCUCUUAACAUUUUUAAGUUAUGUGGUUUAGUUUUUGGUUUUGUUUACCCGUCCUGUACUGUCACUUCCAUUUUGGUUCCUCUCUGUUCAUCCUAGUUUUACUAUGAAGGCUUUACAUGGGAUAACUGCUACAUUGCUUAAAGAUUAAAUGAAAAGCAUACAAAGUUGGAAAUGAUUAUGAUACAUUUGUGAAUGUGGAGUUGUAGCAUUUGAUUGAGUUGUUAAUGCUUGUAGUAGGUCUUGACUCUAGAUCUGAUUGGCAUUGGCAGUACUGACUGUUUUUUUUUUUUUUUUGUGUGCAACUAUUGUAAAUGCGCCUAUGUCUGCCCCAGAGAGCAAGUGUUUUGGGCUUUUGGAGAUGCAGUCUCUAUAAUGGCAAAAUAAUGGUUUAAUCAUCUACUGGCAUGACUAAAACUUUAUGUUUGUGCUGCUUGCUGGCAUUACUGGAUUUCCAGACUGAGCAUAGCAUGAUGCCAUGAUUAGAUAACAAAAUGAUGGUUGUGUUGAUUUCGAUAAAAAGUAGAAAAAAUAAAAAAUUGACGCACACCCGGUGGGACUCGAACCCACAAUCGCCUGAUUAGAAGUCAGACGCCUUAUCCAUUAGGCCACGGGUGCUUUUUUUACUGAUGUUUGUCACAUAAUUCUAUUAAUCCAAUAAACAUUGCGAUCCUAUUGACUUCAGCAAUAACCGUAACAUCCAGGUGACAGUCACUUUCGCUUUAUUCGAUUGUCUUCCUUGCUCAUUGCUGCAACAUGUUCAUUCGAGCAGGUAUCCAUACCUUAUGAUUCAUGAAGCUGACCAUGUUGCCAACUAAACUUUGGAUUACUAAAUCUUGACAUCCUACACGCUACACCCCCAUUUCUUAUUGAAUUAAAAUUAGUAAAGCUUUAGUUUGAUUGUAUCACUGAAUAUCAAAUUAACAUUCCAUGAUACACAAUCUACUGUAAAGAAAGAAAUCAUACUCCUUUUCCACAAAUUUUCUCUUACAAACGGAUAAACAAUCUAUUUGUGAAGAUAAAAGGCCAAACCACCAAGAUUUACAAGAUUUUUGGGGCCAUAUAUGGCUAUAACUUAAGCACCCUUGAAAUCCGUUUAUUACUCCAUUUGGAACAUGAUGGCCAGUUGGCCACACAUUGACCUAUUUCGGACGACCAGUAAGCCUGCACCAGCGCACCUGGUACGUCUGGGGAAGGAAUUAGGAAAUGGCAGCUUUGGUUUUCGGCUUUCAUCUGAUGGACGUGGUCUUUUCCAUACCCCAGGCGAUAAAGGGUUGCUGAUGUUCUGCCAGUAUAGCAUAGAUCAGUGCACUGUUAAAAGGAUCAUUGAUGUUUUAGUUUAUUGUACUUGCGGGAGGGGAUUAUGGCUGGAAUGCUGGAUUGUACUAAAGGACCCUUAUGGGAAUUGCGUGCCUUGUUUUCAAAUUUAUAUAUGUUACAAGCUGAGGAACCCGCGCUACGCACCGGGGUAUGAGAAUAAGUUUUAUUAGACAAUCCGUAUUACUUAUGUUUGAUUAAUAUAUGUUUUGGCUAUUUUUUGUGUUUUGAUUUUGAUGAUUUGAGAGGUUUGUGCUUAAUGGGAGAGUGGAUAAAAAGUCUAGAGAUUUUUGGUUUAAUGAAAAAUGGAGAAAAAGAGAAAAACAAAAAAUAGUUAUAGAACUAUUAAAAUAACUAAUUAUAUUUUUAUUUUUAUUUUUAAAAAAUGAGAAAAUUUGUGAGAGCUUGAAAAUCAUUUAGGAUGCCACUUAGGAGAGAGAAUGCGGGACCGCAUGGGUCUAGCUAUUAUAUAGAUACUAGCUGUGGACCCCGUGCUAUGCACCGGGAUUAGAGAUUUUGUAAGAGAAAUUUUCUAUAAAUUUUAAACUUAUAUAAUUUUUAAUUAUCUGUAUUAAUUUUUUUUAUUUAUAUGUACAUAUAAUAAAUUAUUAUGUUUGGUUAUAUUUGAUUAUUAAUUUGUGUUUUGAGUAUAUUUGUUGUUUUUAUUUUAUUUUGAUUGAAAUGUUUGUGUUUAUACUUUAUUAGGAGAGUGGAGAAAGUGGGUAGAGAUUUUUUUUGGUUUAGUGAAAAAUAGGGAAAAGUGUAGAGAAAUACAAAAUUUAGUUAUAAAACCAAUUAAUAUAAUUUUUUUUUAAUUUAUUUUAUAGAAGAAAAUAUGUGAGAGCUUGAUGAUCAUAUAGAGUGCCACAUAAGAGAGAGAGUGUGGGAUCCAUUGGGUCUAGCUAUGAUAUAGAUACUAGCUGUGGACCCAAAGCUACGCAUCGGGAUUGGAGAUUUUUCAAGAGAAAUCUCGUAUAAAUUUUAAAUUUAUAUAAUAUUAAAUUUAUCUGUACUAAUUUUUUUUUAUUUAUAUAUACAUAUAAUAAAUUAUUAUAUUUGGUUAUAUUUGAUUAAUUUACGUUUUGAGUAUAUUUGUUGUUUUGAUUUUAUUUUUAUUGAAAUAUUUGUGUUUAUAAUUUAUUAGGAGAGUAGAGAAAGUGGAUAGAGAUUUUUUGGGUUUAGUGGAAAAUGGGGAAAAAUAUAGAGAAAUACAAAAUUUAGUUAUGAAACUAAUUAAUAUAAAUUGUUUUUUUUCUUUUUUAUUUGUUUUAUGAGAGAAAAUUUGUGAGAGCAUGAUGAUCAUAUAGAGUGCCACAUAAAAAAGAGAGUGUGGGACCCAUUGGGUCUAGCUAUUAUAUAGAUAUAUAGACUAGUUGUGGACCCGUGCUACGCACCGGGGUAGGAGAUUUUUGCUUGUUACAACUACUAAAUGCAAUAGUGUAUUUAUCAAUAUCAAUAGUAUUUAAAAUGAAAAAUUUGAAAUUAUGUAAUGAAUUACUUUUGAAUCCAUAAGCCUCUUAUUAGGAAAGUAUACCCAGAUUUGAAAACAAUUAAUGUGUUCUAAAUAAGCUUUUACAUUGAACACCAAGCCAAGAGGGAGUUUUUUUUUUAUUAAAAUAUACCCAAACUAAGUUACGUACAUGUGCGCGAACACAGAUAAAGCUAUACUAUCAGCAUACAAAAUAGUAGAUAAACUCCAUCCAAGGGAUAGGUCAUAGGGACUGUGAGCUUUUGAAGUUCUUGUGGAUGAUCUGGUUUAUGCAAAUGAACCAUGGUACCCUGUUGUAGACCCCAAGCCAGGAGAGAGUUACUAAUAUUAUUUGACACUAAGAAUUGAUUUGCAUAAUGUCAGAUCUAUAUACUGUAUCAUAGCUAUUAAAGGGUUUGGCGGACCCUAACUUGUAUUCAUAUAAUCGAUAAUCAAUCGUUCCCUUGCAUACAUUGUCCCAAUUUUAUCCUCGUGUAGUAUAAAACAUAUAUAAUAUGUUCAACCUGUCUGCUACUCUGCUGCCUUGUUUGUUUCUCUAUAAACAUGUGCAAAACUCAUAUCUUCAAACUUAGCUGUUCACAGUCUAAUAUAGCCUUGAUUAUAUUCAUAAAGUACCAUGCAUGGUGGUCCUUCCAAACCGUUUAUUACAUUGAUAGCUCUUAGAUGCGUCAUGGCCAGUCAAGGUUUUUGUCUAGCAUUGGAUUGGAGGCAACACCAUGUACCGAGAGCACUAUUUCCAGCAAUUGGUUUGCAAUUGGAACACCUGCUCACGCCUUAGAAGCAAAGGAGCUGCCAACUCUUAGAAUUAGUAGUAUAUAAGGUUACUUUUUAUAUACUUGGUCUGUGAAACAUCUUUCACAACCCCAUCAACCUUUGAUAUUUACUAAUGAAAGUGCUACUAAUGGUAUCGAGGAAAAAAACAUUGAUAUCUCUUAGAGUCUGAGACAACCUCUAGUUUUUUAAUUUGCAUACAUCCAUUCUUUUAUCAAUGGUGGUUAUUUCUUGCAUCAAAAUAUUAUCACCAUAUCCCCAUCUAUUUUCUGCAACAGAGCCGUAACAAUUCAGUUUUACAUAUCCUUUGAAGGUUUCUUCCAUAUGCAUUGUUUGACCUCCUCCUUUAUUAUUUUGGUAUCAAUAUCAAGCCUAUGUAAAAGUACACGCAUUUGUACAGUGCCUUUCACUUCUGACAGCCUGGUCUGUAAGUAGAGUUUCAUCUCCUCCUUUAUUGGUGCCCUUGAGUUGUUGAAGUUUCUGGCGUUUCUCUCCUUUCACAGUUCCACACAUGGUAGAUAGUUGCACAAAUAUAAGCUUUCUGAAUUUCUGUUAUAUCAUUAUUAGAACUGUAACUUCUGAAUACUCUCCUUCAUUCAAUAUUAACAUCAGGUGCCACAUUUGUAGACUAAAUCAACUCUUGAUCUCUUUCCAUAUCUGGAUUGUAUAGUUGCACGUACGUGUAGAAUAAAUGCUUUGAGUUCUCCCUUGCUCCUCUACAAAAGAUACAUUCUCAAUGAUGGAGAAUCUUUCUUUGGAUUAAUCUAUCUUGUGUUGGAAGAUGGGCAGAUGACAGUCCCCCUGAAAAUAACAUCCGCCCGAGCUGUAAAGAGUAACAAAGUGAUGUUGAACAAUGUAGUUUUGCAUUAUAUAGUAUGGCCCUUUAUCCUGAGAUAUUUCCUAGUGUGCCAUAACAGUAACUCAGUUUGUAGUGCAGUUCAAGAAAUGGUUCAAAUACAAACCUUUAAUCUGAGAUAUUUUCUAGUGUUUCUUCAUACUUGAGCAUUUUGAUGCUAACCAAGACAAUUAUGAUAAUUGUAUUAACAUCUAAAAUCUAAAUGUCGAGUUUCUGAUGGUAACAUUGUAAUUCUGCUACAAUAAGCUAACCAAGUAAACGCAAAAAACAGAUACCAGUACACAAAAGAAAUUAGAUGAACACCUGGAAUCCAAAUAUGGUAUAAAAAAUUUUACACACAAAAUAUACAUUUACUAAUAACUCACACCUACAUGUGAUUGUUGUAGAUGAGAGAAGUGUGAAACCUCUUGAUGCAUACAACAUUGAAAAUUCUGGGAGGCGUAUAUCGUGACAUAUUCCUAUACCUAUACGAUUAACAUCUGUAAUAUACUUUCACGUAUCAAAUUUUGAAAGCACCAUUUUCUUUGUAUCAAUAAACUAACCAUAUGACUGCAUGUUAUUCAGGCUUAAAAAUAUCAUUGGAAUUGGCAAAGUAAACAAAAAAUGCAAAUUCAUCUUCAACUUGGCUAAUGUUAUCACUGUUUCAGGUUUAUGUAUCUUAUUGAAGAAUGAAGUCCAGCAUAUAUCUGAGAAAUAAAUGUCUUAUUGAUCAGAUCUUUCUGUUUGUUUUCCAUGUAUCCCACUGGAACAUACAACAUUUGAUAUAAAAAAAUGAGACGUUAACAAUGCCAACUCUAUUAGAAGUGAAACACUUUUUCAUUUGUGUUGUUUAUGCGUUGAUGUAAUUUGAUUACAUUCUAAUUAAAAUUUUGCUUAUAAAAAAAAAACCCUCUAUUAAAUUAGAAGUCACACGCGAUAAUACUUUUUCCACCACUCAAGUCACAAAAUAAACAUGUUAAAAGUAAAUACCUCUAUCAACAACUGUAGGUUUAUCAUCAGCAGUGUAGGCGUCAGAUUCCAUCAAAAAGAAUUCUCCGAGCAUGUUAAUGUCAAAUAGAUAUACCUGUGAAUCAUCAAAACGACUCGUAUAAGUAGCAAGAAACCAACAUAUUACAUCACUGAUUAAUUUAAAGCACCUAGGUGCUUCAGCUUUUCAUGGGAUGAUCAUGAAAACACCGAGUGAUAGAGCAUUUGGGGAGGCAUUGACAUUCGACUCAAUUACCUUCCUAUGCUUUAGCAAUUAGUUUUCCAUCUACUCGCUCCAAAUACACAAUUGGUAUUAUACAACCUCCCACUACAAUGUUCUGGCACAGCUCCACCAACUAUAGUAAUGCCUUAACUCCGGGCAACUUCUGAUAGCAUCAUGAAUGAUGAGGAAAAAAAAUCAAAUAAACAACUUAAGCUUAAUAUUAAGACAUUAAGUUACCAAUCUAAUCUAAGUUAAUAUGAUCAAUAAAUGUAAAAGUAGUAACAAUCAUAUUCAUGAUCAGAUUAUGAGAGUUGUGAAUGGAGGAUACCAUAUAUACACAAUUUGGCAUUGUGCCAAUACCAUGGAUUGUAUAUACUUUAUAGGAUAUAGCCUCAUGUUUAGGUCCGGGCAACUUCUGAUAGCAUCAUGAAUGAUGAGGAAAAAAAAAUCAAAUAAACAACUUAAGCUUAAUAUUAAGACAUUAAGUUACCAAUCUAAUCUAAGUUAAUAUGAUCAAUAAAUGUAAAAGUAGUAACAGUCAUAUUCAUGAUCAGAUUAUGAGAGUUGUGAAUGGAGGAUACCAUAUAUGCACAAUUUGGCAUUGUGCCAAUACCAUGGAUUGUGUAUACUUUAUAGGAUAUAGCUCAUGUUAACUACUGGUUGUAAAAUCCUCAAACCUCCAUCAACAAAUACCAAGAUUUUAUUUGAUGAGAUCCAUACCAAAAACAAUACCAUACAUUGCGUAUUGAUGGUGUCUCAACAAUAGCCUCUUUCAUGUGAGACAAUAAAGCUUAAAACCCUAGGAAUUUUUUUUGAAUUGAGAUGGAAAAAUAUUUAGAAGCCAAUUGAAACCGUUAAGUAUAAGUAGAAUAGAGUAUCUCUAGAGAAUUCAAAGUUUCUAAGGCAAGUUCACAAUUUAGAAAGAGAAAAAUACCAUUCACAGAUUACAAAGUGAAGAAAAAACUUGUUAAGCGGAUAACAUAUCAUCAAAUCAAUACUCAAAUCCUUGGGAAUUUCUUGCUGAUGUGAAGCUACCUUUCUUAAACGCAAUGAAAUACAAUCCUGCAAACAAUGAUUAUCCCGUCAUGGCUAAUACCCUUAUAUCCAACAGUUUAAUAAAUAAGUAGUUACAAAUUGAAUAAAACUAACACUUACAGAACUGUAUUAACCAUUUUUGUGAGGUUGGUCAAUACAUUAAUGAAAGAUGAUGAUGUGUAUGAUAUGAACAAUAAUAAAGUAGAGACGUGAACACCAUUGUAUACGUGGUUCGGCAAUUGUGCCUACAUCCACGGAGAGAGAGAGAGAAUGAACUUUAUUAUAGUAGUGGUGAUACAAAAUGGGAGCUCAAUAAUGGAGAGAGCUCAAGAGAGAGAUGAGACCUGAGAGGUGAGGUCUCAUGAGAGAGUGUUGAGGUCUUGUGUAUGAUUCACAAUGAGACCAUGAGAAGAUGAGUAGUUUGCCUUUAUAUUUAUAGGCUACAAUGUAACUCCAUUCUUAGCAAUUAAUAGGGUAAUAAUGGGGAAAAUAUCUUUGUAAUAAUAAGGCUUAACUUUGUAACUUGUGCCAUCAAGAGAGAGCUCAUUAGAUGUUGACAUGUGGCACCAUGAUGGACGAUAGAGAUGGUGCCACAUGUAUGUUGUAUAUAGUACCCCUACAUAUAAUCUUGAAUACUUACAAAGUAACAAAACUAAUAUGGGAAGAACUUACUGCGAGUGUGAUAUUUGUUUUGCUGAUCUAGUGUUUGAUGUGGGUGAAAAGUAGGGUCAGAGGAGAAAGAAGAUAUGGAAGUUGAUACAAAUGGAAAAGAAACCCACCUAGUAAAUUUUUUUCCUAAUCUUCAUGGAUAAGUGGAGAGAGGUUCCAAAGUUUGAAUGCAGUUGAAAGAGUUGUGGAAAGAGUCAGAGAGGAAGAGUUUGGGAUUUUUUGGCAAGAGUUUUGUGCCACGUAAAUUCUAAUAACCAAUCAAAAAAAUCUGUUUUUUAUUUUGCAAAAUUAAAAAAAGCUGAGAAAAAUCGAGAGAGCUUUCCUCUUAACUAGACACCCACAUAAGAAAGAGAAUGUGGGACUGCAUGAGUCUAACUAUUAUAUAGAUAUAGACUAUGUGAACGGGCACGUGUAUGCGUGCAGGGAGUUAAGACGUAUAUAAGAAGAAGAAUAGGUGGGUUCAGGUGAUGGAAUCUAUUAGAACAGUUGGACCUACAAUAAUUUUUUUUUUUUUUUGGUUGAAUAAAUUGAUAAUUGUUUAAAAAUCCGGAGUUGAACGAAAACCUGCUGCAAAAUAUCUACGUGGCAGUUUCUUAUAGGAUAUAAGAUGGGCUUUACUGUAGCUAAAGGCAGGUUGCUUUACGAUUAGUAAAGAUUUGAGCCCAAUAGUUGUGUAUGUGUGUGUGUUGUGAAUUAUGUUAUGUGAUAUGUGAACUGUGAAGUACCUCUUUGUCCUCAAGUGAAAAGGAGAUGGAAACCAAAGCUUGUUGGAUGGACCACGACCAUGCGAUCUGAGCAUGAUUAAUGGCUGAGAUUCAAGUUGUGAUUCUUCUGGCAGUAGGGGAUCGUUCUCAGCUGCCUAUUAGACUAUUAGUAGUUUUUUCUCCCCCAAACGAUUCUUGGGCCUAAGACUAUGUUGAGCUUAGUGGUCGAAGUAAUUUGUGUUUUUUAGUUUGGUAAUCUAAGAGCAUUCCCAAUGGUAGGUUUUAGCACACUUUUAGUUAACUUUUAGUGAAAACACUUGCCAAUGGUAGCUUUUAACACACUUUUCAAGCAAAACACUUUUAACUCCUUGGCAAAUUUGCCAAGGAGUUAAAAGUGCCAUGUAGGAAUCCAUCCGCCACAAUUAGUGCGGUAUGGAUCUAUACCCCACAAUAAGUGCGGUAUGGAUCCAUACCCCACAAUUAGUACGGUAUGGACUCAUCUAAAAGAAGAUCCAUCCGCCACAAUGAGUGCGGUAUGGAUCCAUACCCCACAUAGAUUGCGGUUUCAAUAAUCCACCAUUGGAAACACUAAAACCCUUUUUUCACUAAAACCAUUGAAAACCCCAAAAUUCCUUAAAACCAUCCUAUGUGGCACCACUAAAAGUGUUUAGAGCAUUCCCAAUGGUAGGUUUUAAAUCACUUUUAACAACUUUUAAUAAAAAACUCUUGCCAAUAGUGGGUUUUAACGCAUUUUUCAAGCAAAACACUUUUAGAGCAUUUCCAAUGGUAGGUUUUAGCACACUUUUAGUGUAAACAGUUGCCAAUGGUAGCUUUUAACACACUUUUCAAACAAAACACUUUUAACUCCUUGGCAAAUUUGCCAAGGAGUUAAAAGUGCCACGUAGGAAUCCAUCCGCCAUAAUUAGUGUGGUAUGGAUCCAUACCCCACAAUGAGUGCGGUUUCAAUAAUCCACCAUUGGAAACACCAAAAUUCCUUAAAACCAUCUUAUGUGGCACCACUAAAAGUGUUUUACCAUUGGGAAUGCUCUCAUCUCCUUGGCAAAGAGUUAAAAGUGCCACAUAGAACCAUUUUAUUAAUUAAAAAUUAGAUUUCAUCACAAUGUACACUAUAUUUUUGGAGAAAAGUGAAACCUUAAAUUUUAACACUAUGUUAAAACCUUUUCUCUCUCUUAUGUGGCACCCUUAAAACCCUUUUACUAUUGAGAAUAAUCAUGUUCUUGAAAGUAGCAAUAAUCAUGUUCUUGAAAGUCAUUUAUUUCUCAAAUAAAUAAAUAAAUAAAUGCAUUGUGAAGAAUCAUUCAUAGCAACUGUUUGAUGCAAUUUCAACGGUGCUACAUAACCUCAUUUGCAACUAGCGACUGUUUGGUACAAUUUCAACAAUGCUACAUAACCUCAUUUGCAACUACAAUCUCUCUCUCUUCAACUGCAAAUCUUCAAUUUAAAAUUGUGCAAUAUUCAAAAUCUCACAGCUAUCAGUAACAUCAAAUGGUUACGGUGUAGACCACAUAUCCACAAAAUAUUUAUUUUCAAUAUCAUCUAUUAGUUUCUUGAGGACAUUUUCAUGAGCUAUAUAUAUGACUCCCAAGUCCCAAUAUUGGAAAAUAGCAAUACUGUCAUCUUAACUCUUAAGUUGGUCUCUAUAGAACAAAAUAUGGCCACUGGUAAGCUUGAGAUGGAAAAGGAAGCAAAGUGUAAUCCUCAGAAGUUCUACGGUAUGAUCAAGUACACUCUUCAUCACCUCCAUACUAUCUUCCCUGAGUCAUACAAGAGUAUUGAUAUACUUGAAGGAGAUGGUGAGAGUGUGGGUUCUGUCAGGCUUUGGAAAUAUGUCCUCCCAGGUAAAACUUGCAUAAUCACACAAGAGGAUGAUUAGACAUCAAAAUCUAUCUCAUCGUCUGGUUUCUUGAUUAUACUGUAUCUAACUUGUAUAUAUGAUGAUGAUUUUUACAGGGACAUCCGAAGUUUUGACUGCUAAGGAAAAGACUGAAGUGAUAGAUGAUGAAAACAUGUUGAUAGUUUGGAACAUAUACGAAGGAGAUCAUACAAAUCAUUAUAAUGGUUUUGUCCUGCUAAAGAUGCAAGUUGUUCCUAAUGGUGAAGGGAGCUUGGUAAAAUGGACUUUUGAGUAUGAAAAGCGCAAUGAGGGUGGACCAGAUCCACAACAGUUUAUGAAUAUGUUUGUCAUGUUUGGUGACAAGUUGGAUGCUCACCUUGCUGCCGAGGCCUAAAUGAAGUGCAAUACUGCAACCGGACCUCUGAAAUAAAUAAGUGAGACGAGGAACAUCUGUUCCAGACAUAGAAUGCUUUCGCAUAUAUAAGUUAUUUUGUACUUGUUAAAUAAGAGAAGUUAAUAUUCUUCUUUUCCUUGUUUGAGAAAUAUGGUGUCCUCUAUGGUUACUGUUUGAGAAGUUACUAUUUGUUCAAGUGUUAAAUAUGAUGAUCUCAUUUACAUCUAAUGCCCACAUAACUCGUUGCGAUGGAUGUUUGAUUUCUAUUACGUUGCAUUGUUUUCUAAGGUAAGAGACAAAGCGUCUAAGUUUAGUUGUCUUUGACAGGGAGCAUUACCACCAUAGUCCCACAUCGACAAGAUAUCAUGUUUGGUAGUGCUAUUUCCACAAUGAAAUGAGUGUGUAUGGUACGACCUUACUUGAACAGGAUCUGUUCUAUAGGGAAGUGCCUCUGUAUCCUUUAGUAAAAAGGAGACGGUAACCAAAGCUUGGUGGAUGAACCAGAACCGUGUGAUCAGAGCGUGAUUAAUGGCUGAGAUUCAAGCUGUGAAUCUUCUGGUUGUAGAGGAUCGUUCUCAGCUGCCUUAGUGGCUGAGAUGGUCACACGGUUGUCUGACAGGCUCAAAAUCUUUUUGCUUUUCUCCCCAAGUUUGAUGCAUUUUUCAAUUUAUGCAACUCUAAAUGGAUUCCAUAUAAAUGCAGUAUGAAAUUAUGCUCCAACUUUCUUGAUAACACAAACUGUUUUGGGCUAAUUGUGGUCCUGAUCAAGACUCUGACAUCUCUCAAGAAGAUGUUUAGGUGCUCCUAACUAUAGAUAUAUUGUAUUUGGAUGAACACUUUCGAGGAGUAGAGAUGAACAUUGAGCACCCUCAUUUAAGUAUCAGGAGUCCAUGUUAUUACCUCUAUUAUUAGAGGAUAAGAAGCUGCUGGCAAUACUUGAAGCUUGGUGGAUCAGCUGCUGCAGAGAGAACAUGCCUGUCCUCUGAUUGAGGGAUCUGAGCUCCAUUUGGAAGCAUUUCAGCCAGGUGUUGCUCCUAUGUCUACUGUAGAAACUACAAUCUGCACUACUAGUUGUGGUGAAGGGAUGUUUUUGUUGGGUUUACAGCUGUGGUCGUGGUAUAAACAUGAUGCCAAUGCUUCAUGUUAUAUCAAUAAAAUAUGCGCAAUUUACUUGUCCCAUAAGAAGAGGAAAAGGCAUAUUAACAACAUGGUGCCUUGUUAUCCCAAAAAAAAUAAAAACAAUUUGCUGCCUGCACUACUUAAUGAGAAGAAUUUUAUUAUGUUUUUGACUUAUCCAUAUAUCAACACAAACCACAUCAGCCAAACUCUAGCACCACAAUCCCAACAGCCAUGAAAAAAGUGGGAGGGACAAAAAGUAAAGAAAGGGGAAACGUGAGAAAGAAAAAUUCAUUUCCCCGAGCACUCGUAUUUUAUAAAGAGGGAGCUCUACUCUUUAAGUAAGAAAGCAGAGGGAAAAUAGAAUUAGCUGAGUUUCCUCUUCUCCAAUAUCAAACUUCUGAUUUUAUUGAGACACCGUUGAUCUAAUAUUACGUAGAGCCUCUGCAAUUCUCUAUAUCCCAAUAUCACAUAUCUGUCAACUUGAUCCUCAUAUUUCUCAUACAGUGCAGGAACAGUAAGAAGAAACACAAGACCUGCCAUACAGUCAUCGGUAGCACCAAAAAAUGGUAAGUGCAUAACUGAAAGACAGAAACUAGACCUAUAUAAAGUAGGAAGCAUCAAAACAUAAAGUCUCAACGAAGAAAAAGAUCAAUCUGCUGGCCUUCCUACAUUAGUUCCAAUAUAUUAGUGUACAACCUAAAUUUUUCAGUCCUGAAUAGUUUAUGUCUACUGCCUUCAUGGUAGGUUUAGGUAUUUAUACGUUAUGAAAUACAACAGCAUUAUAUAAAGUGAGGUUUAGAAACUUACUUGUGUAACCCAAAGUAAGGAAAUCAGUCCAGCCCCCAACAACAGAGAUUAGCCACAUACACCCUGCAACUUUGAAAAACAUCUUCGAGUCCUUUCCCAGACAUAUAUCUCGAGAAACUAAGAGCAAUGCGUUAAUGCGAGAACGAAUGAAAGCCGCUGCUUCAUUUAUUAACUCUUCUGACAACUGUAGAUCUGGUAGAGGAGGAGGAGGUCUGUAAUCAAGAUCAAUUCAGACAAUAAGUUUCUGGAUGAAGACACCUAAAUUUGCACAUUUCACUCCACAACUAACUAUUUACUGCAAGAAUAUGAAAAACAACGAGAAAAAAAAUGAAAAAAUACAGUCAAAAAUCUUAUUUUCCUUUUUGCUACAAGGAAACACAUUGGUUAAUAUCAGUAUUGAGACUGGCUCAAUGAGAGGGGUGCUACCAUUGAGCCACAGGCUCAUUCGCUUUGUUUACUGGGACUAAAUCCCUGGGGAGGCUAGCACAGCUAUCCACCGCCAUGACCUCCCACUUAAGGCAGAAUUGUCUAAUUGGGGAAUCGAACCCCUGACCCGUGCGUCCAACUACACUGACUACUUACAUGUCCAGAUUCUUUAUAGCUCUAACAUGUAAUAACUCUUGGUGCUAAGACCAGAGUAUAGAAGUGUGAGAUUCUUUUACAGAAAUUGUUCUUGUUAUAAUGUGAUUUUCAGGCAUUAAGCCCACUUAACCUCUAUGCAACAAUAAGUUAAUAUCGCUAUCUCAGAAAUCGUGUAAAAUAUGAGAAACAAACCCUAUUGAGGAGACUUAUAACUUUAUCAUUUUUGGAAUGUAGUUUGAAUGUACGCGAAAACCAGUAAACAAAGGAUCUAUAAGCAAUGAUUUCACUAUAUAGAGUUCUAUGAUCUAUCUCUACAAACAAACUUUUAAGGGACCAUAGGCUCAGCAAUGAAUUAGCUAUUCUGUGAAGCAAAUACUGUACAUUCCAAAUUGAGUUCAAGAUAAUGUAGUCUGAGAUUUUAUCGAUAUAUUUUAAAUUUCGACAAAAGCUGAAAAGAAACAGGUUACCAAGAACAAUAAAAUUGGUAGCUAGAUUCACUAACAAAGUUCAUAUCAUUCAAUAUAUAUUCUGUAUAACCAGCAUUUAUACGGGAUGACGAGAUCAUAUAAAUCGAACUCCUCCACUACUCACAUUGUAGUACAAUAGGUAACAUAGUUAUCAAUAAUACCUGUUGAGAAUCUCUGCAGAUUUUGCCCAAAGAAAAAGAAUAGUAAUUAACAGCAACAGAACAUUAAAAACCAGUGAAAGCAAAGUAUAACCAGAUUUCUCAAAAACCACCCAAGCAGCAAGUGUUACCACUAGUAACCCCACACUUAAAUUUUUUCUUCUCCAUAACAUCACAUCUGCAACUAUUAAAUCAAUAAACAACAAAAUAAAUACCAUCAUUAUUCAUUAAAACCCCAAAGUAAGAUCUGAUCAUCUAAUUAACAUAAUUAAAAAUCCUAAUCAAUUUCACUUACUGAAACCUUCACCAAGGAUCUGAUGUAGUGUUCUUUCUCUGUUAAACAAUCUAUGAUUUGAAGAAGAAGAAGAAGAAGAAGAAGAAGAAUCCAUGAUGGACCAAGUAAAGAAGAAAAUAAUAGGUGGGUUUGUUUGUUAGAAGAAUUGGAUUGAAAGGAAAAGUGGUUUUCAGGUUUUAUAUUAUAAACAAAGUUGAAAAUAAUUGGCGGUUUUGAAAUCCAGCCUAAAAGCUUGAAACCACUCAUUUUGUUUUCAGUCACAACCUUUUCUUUUGGCUUUCUUCGAAAAAAAAAGUUUUUGUGUAAGAAAAUGGUUUAUGGCGCAAGGGAACUGUUUGGGCUUAAAUAUGGGCUUGGGCUGUGUGGGGUCAUAGAACAGAAUACCGGAACACGUGCAGCAAAGAUCAACGGCUGUGAUUCUCUCCCGCCGAAAAUAACAAACUCCAACAAACUGAAGGCGCUUAACGUACGCACGAUGCGCAUUACGCACCUUCUAAACCUUCACUAGAGUGCACACUUCACACCCUUGCACAUUCUAAAAUCUUCUUUCUGCAACAAAUUCCAGAGAAAGAGAGAGAAGAAAACACACAAACUUGAAAACUCUGAAUCAAGAAAGUAAAACAUGUCUCCUUCUUCUUCUUCUUCUUCUUCUUCUUCCAAGAAUCUGUCAAUCUUGUUCAUCUUCUUCAUCAUCAUCUUCUUCUCAUUCUUAGUUCCAUCUGCUGGAACUGAAUCAAAUCAUCCAUCAAUUGGAAUUACAUACAACAAUAGAGGAGGAACUACUACACAUCAAAUCGUUUCACUUCUUCAAUCACUCAAAAUCAACUCAAUUAGAUUACCUGAUUCUGAUCCAGAGAUUAUUCGAAGUUUUUCUUACUCUGGUAUUUCUCUUCUUCUUUCAAUCCCAAAUUCAUUAAUUACACAAAUUGCUUCAAAUCAAUCUGAAGCUCUUCAUUGGCUUAAUCAUCAUGUUACCCCUUUUUACCCUAGAGUUCAUAUUUCAACAAUUUCUGUUGGUAACAAUGUUCUUGAUGAAAAAGAAAAAGAAGAAGAAGAAGAAGCUACUUCGGAUUCAAAUCAUUCUGAUUUUCUUCUCUCUGCAAUGGAAAAUGUUCGUCAAGCUCUUGAUGAACUUGGAAUUGAUAAGAUUAAAGUUUCAACUACUUUCUCAUUCAUUAAUGUCAUUACUACUGCUUUCCCACCUUCUUCUGCAGAAUUUCAACAACCUUUAGCUGAAUCUUUGAUGAAACCACUUUUGGGUUUCUUGUCUGAGACGAAUUCUUCUUUCUUGAUUAAUUUGUAUCCUUACAAUUUGUAUCGGAAUAACCCUGAGAUAACGAUUGGGUAUGCAAUAUUUCAAGAACAUCCCUUUGUUUUUCGUGAUGAUUUGUUGACUGGAGUUCGAUAUCGAAAUCUCUUCGAUAUGAUGGUUGAUUCAGUCCUUACUGCAAUGGCAUUACAAGGUCAUGAAAAUAUACCCUUGAUUGUGACAGAGACUGGGUGGCCUAGUUCUGACGAAUCGAAGGAUAUGGAUGCCAAUCAUGUUUAUGCUGAGUUGUACAUUAAGGGAUUGGUAAGGCAUUUGAAAUCAGGAUUUGGAACACCACUGAGAAGAGAUGGAGUGGCAGAGACUUAUGUAUUUGAGUUGGUUGAUGAUGAAACAAAGGACAAUGCGCAAACUAGGCGUCACUGGGGGAUUCUGUAUCCGAAUAUGACAAAGAAGUAUGAUCUUGAUUUCUCAGGUUCUAUUGGAAUGUCCGAUAUGUCGAUGAUGCCGUUCGGGAUUUGGUUGUUUGCGGUGAUGUUGAUGCGGUAAUUGAAUGGGGGUUUCUAUGCCCAAAGCAAAUGUUGCUUCAGGUUUCAGCCUUUCUGAUUUUUGCUAGUUGUUGUUUAGCUUUCAUAUAGGUGUAUUGAGUGUUGUUAGUCAAAUGUUGUAUAUGGGUUCUACUGAAAGAUAUCUGUAUGUACUACACAUUCCGUUGUGUCAUGAAGUUUGAAAAAGUAAUGAACUUGAAACGUUUCGAGUCUCUACUGAAUUUGUGCAAUUUUCUUAUUAACAUGUUAAGGGUGUUAGAGCUCAAUAGGCUUUAAGUUUACUGCAUUGAAUCUGUAGAUAGUUCUGACUUCCAGUUCUGGAAAGUUUGAGAUAUCUAUAAGCUAAGUAAAGCAUUGCAAUUGCAGAGCAAAACUUGCUUGAUUUUCAUGAAUAUAGGUUCUUGAAAUGGCACUGGCAACAAAGGAUUGAUUAUAAUUGCUCCUUUCAAUCUUUGAUAGUGAAGCUAAGACCACCUAAAACCAAGACAGCCAAAGCCCUUGAAAACAUCAUUUUCCGUUUUAUUUACUGGCAAACUUUCUGUAAAUUUUGAUUCAACAAUAGAACUUAUAUUUGCUUUCUUUUGCUCUGAUUUUCAUUUCCAACUAUAACCAAAUUAGCUGUUUUCUUUAUAACUAUGCUUUCAUUGUUUCAUUUUGGUUAUUGCCCUUGAUAGAUCUGCAACUUAAAAUUUAUCUUAUCAGUUUUAAGUACAUAUCAUCACAAUAUUCAAGUUCCAAACACAGUAGACGAUCCCUCAAAAGGAACUUAAGAGUAGGGAUUUUAGUUUGUGCUGAAUAUGAAUUCAAGUGCUUCUUGCAGUACAAUAAACCUCGCUGUUGUGAGAUACAAUUAGGUGUCAAUUAGAAAGAGCUGUAUUGGCUCAUCAGUACUAACCUACAACCUGAAGGAAUUUCUUCUUGGUUUUGACCAAGUUGAACAAAACAUAAGAAGUGUCUAGUCAUCUACAAGACCUGAAGACCUUACUCUCGGCUUCGGCCAGAACAGCAGAGAUAAGAGGAAAAUAUGGUGUUGCAGGAUGUUCAUACCUUUGACAUGUGAAAUUGGUGGAGAAAAAGCGUGAAAAAAGUUUUAAAACCUGACAGACAACCGCAUGACCAUCUCAGCCAGGAAGAGAUUCACAGCUAGAAUCUCAGCUGUUAAUCAGGCUCUGAUCACACGAUCGUGGUCAUCCACCAGACUUUUGUUUCCUUCUUUUUACUGAAGGAUACAGAGGUACUUCCCUAUAGAACAAAUCCUGUUCAAGGCUUGAACUUCAAGCAAGGUUGAACCAUACACUCUCAUUUCUCUUGUGGAAAUAGCUUCGUUGAAGAUGUUAUUUCGUAGAAGACUAUGAAACAUAAUUGAAAUCAAACAUCCAUGGAAAUGAAUUGUCUGGGCUUGGGAUGUGAAUAAGAUCAUAUAUAUGUAUAUAUACUGUCGAAGACCCCAUAUUGAUAUUAUUUCUCAAACAAGGAAGGGUUCCGACUUAACAAAUCACAACUUAUAAAUAUAAUAUAAAAAUAAAUAAAAAACUUAUACAUAGUGAAAGCACUCGAUCCAUAUGUUCAUAUUUCACUUAUUUAUUUCAAAGGUCCGUCACACUUCAUUUAGGCUUUGGCAAUAAGACGAGCAUCCAACUUGUCAUUAAACAUGCCAAGCAUGUUCAUAAACUGUUGUGGAUCUCUUUUACAUUGUGUUGAUUUGCAGUUGAAGAGAGCUAAGUUAUAGUUCAAUUGCAUGUUGAGAACAGUAGCAGUCUUUAGCCCAAGAAUCGUUUGGAGCAAAAAGUUUUUGAGCCUGUCAGACAACCGUGUGACCAUCUCAGCCACCAAGGCAGCUGAGAACAAUCCUCUACAGCCAGAAGAUUCACAGCUUGAAUCUCGGCCAUUAAUCAUGCUCUGAUCACACGGUCCUGGUUCAUCCACCAAGCUUUGGUUACCGUCUCCUUUUUACUCAAGGAUACAGAGGCACUUCCCUAUAGAACAGAUCCUGUUCAAGUAAGGUCG
rnacentral:lncRNA from 1 species